rnacentral:lncRNA from 1 species
UAAAACGUAACUAUUUUUAAUUUUUAUCACUUAUAGUAAUGAAUAUUAAUUAAUUUAUACCACAAAAUAUUAAAUAAAUUAGUAUGAUUUUUAAAAACAACAGAAUGAUGUUUUUUUCUUCAUAAAAUGAUAUUUUAAAAAUAUUAAAGUCAACAAAUAACUUUUUAUUUCAUAAAAAUAAUCGUUAGUAUCUUUUGUAAAAGAAUUAAGGAAGAAACUCUUUUGCUGACAUAUACACCUAAUUGUGUAUUUUUUAUUUUUCAAUACAAGUUUAGAUGAGUUGGAUUUCGGGUCUUUCUCAGAUCAAACCUCAAGCUUAAGGAAUGCUUAUAAAGCUAUUUAUAAAUCACUUACAUAAAGGUUUUUACAUUGACAACGGAAGUUGAACUCACGAAUCUUGCAAGAAGUGGUAGAUCUAGAACUCUUUUUUGGUAAGGCUAGAAAAUUAUGUAUAUAUUUUGACUAAAGAAAAAUAUUAUGAAUUUUUACAAAAUACAUAACUAAAAUGACAAAAGAAACUCAAAAUGCAUAAAAUUAUAUAAAAUUACAAUUAUCUUCUAUUAGUCUUCAUAUCCUAAAAAUGUUCGAUUUAUGAAAACUGAAAAGUUAAACUUGUGGUGAGUAGAUAAGGGGACUGAGUCUCCGUAAGCAUAGCUCAGUUGGUACAGAUAUUACAGUCUGCAUGGAUCAGGAUUCAAACAUCAGAUUUUCCACUUAUUCACUUUUAGGAGCAAGUUUUUAGUCAUUAGAUUACAUGAUAAUUAAAAUAACAGGAUCGUAUAUAAGUGUAAGUUAGUGAGCCUAAUUAAUUUUAUGGGGGCUCGAAAUAAUAUAUAAUAGUCCUGUCAAAAGAUAUUUUAGCUCCCUAAAAAAAAAAAAAAAGGUUUUCUCCUAGCGGCUUGAUCCCCCAAUGCAAUAUAUGGGUAUCCGCCUUGCUUGUAAGGAAAUCAACUAUUUACCAAUUGAAUCAACAUUUAUUAACUUGUUUUAUUUUAAGCAGUGGCUUAUAAUAGACAAUUUCUUGUGUACAAUCGAAUUUCAACAUGUACUUGUAUGAUAAAUGUUUAAAUUAAUAGAAAAGUUUAGUGCUACUUGAACACCUGGAAUUGUAAAUAUUGAGACUAUGAGAGCUACAAUAGUAGCAAUAUAAUUGAAGUGACUGAAAACUCAUUAGUUUGGACUUCAAUUGGUUCAUAGGGGUCUACGUGGGUCGGUUUGGGUUGGGUUUGGUUAAAUCCAAGAUCCGGAUCAUAUAGGAUACUCCGGUUUGGGUGGCGUAAAAUGUCCAUCCAUUAUAUUAAUGGAUGGAUUUGGACAAACUCACUAAAUUUUAAUUUGGUUUGGGUUGGGUAGUGGGUUACCCAAAUUAUAUUUUCGUUUUUUUUGUCAAUAUUAAAUGACUAAAUGACGAGUCUUCAUAUUUUUUUUCAUAAAAAUUGCUCAACUUUUUAUUUCUUUAAAAAAUUGUGUAACCUAUUUUCAAUAUAUUUUAGCGUCAUAAAAUAAAAAAAAAUUAAUAUUAAAUAAAAAAUUUCAUCAUAGAAUACUUGCAACAAACUAAAGUUAGAUGACGUAAAAUAGAUUUAGCAUCAAAAUAACUAUAAAUUGCAACAUCAUAAUUUGUAACUCUCACAUGUUUUGAUUUUCAAUAAAGAGGAUGUGUUGUGUCAAUUUUAGAAAUUAGACUAGAUUUAUGAUCAAAACCUUGUUACUCUUCUUCCUUCCUAUGAAAAUGAAAAUAAAAAUAUAGACAUUAUUGGGUAAGUGGGUUUAUUGGGUCUGAGUCUGGUUUUACCCAAAACCCGUUAUUUUCUAUGGAUUUUUCAUUUGAGAUUUACUUUUCCCACCCUAUGCCCUUCUCACGCGCACUGCAAAAAUUACUAAAUUUCCCUCCGGAAUACAAAUUCCGAAAAAUUAACUUCUGGUCCGGAUUACAUAUUCCGGACACAUCAGAGACCACAUCUAUGUUGUGAUGAGAAGUGGUCUCGUGCUGAAAGGGACUGAGGAAUGACAGCAUUUCGAGGAAGCGUUGAAAGAGGUGCAAGAUGGGAAAGUUUGCCGUCAUCGGGGAGCUACUGAGGGUGGCAGAGGUGCCCCAUAGGUGGCAGGGGUGGUGGCAGAGGUCGCGGUGGUACGGGUGUAGUUAUUAGGAGUUGAUUGUGUUCUGUUAUGUUUGAACAUCUUGGAUAAUUUUUAGUGAUGUAACAUUUGGAUAAUUUUUAAUGUUAUGUAAUCUUGGAUAACUUUUAAUUAUAUUUGAUUAAUGUUAUGUUUGAAAAUUAUGUUGUGUUGAUAAUUCUUACGUUAUAAGUUGAAUUUACGGUUAGAACAUAUGGUAACCGACAUGGUAUGUCUGUUUAGAAGCAAGCUAAUGCGCCAAAACAGAUGGCUUCUGCCUCUGUACUGAUGCAGUCCGGAUUAUGCAAUUCGGACAGGAUUAUCACUUUUCAGAUUAUAUAAUCCGGAACCAUCGUUCACCACCCCCUUUUGCUGACUUUCAACGGGGUGAUUUACACUUUUCGGAUUAUAUACUCUGAAUCCAUCUAUUCAUAACUGGCAUCAUCAUCCAUCAGGGUGAUGAAGUGCCAAAAUCCAUGAAUAAAUCCGGAAUUGAUAUUCCGGAAUGGGUUCGGAUUAUAUAAUCCGAACUAGGGGUAUUUUGGGGAAAAAUAGGGCGCGCGAGGAAAGGCGUAGGGUGGGAAAAGUAAAUCUCUUUUCAUUUUGUAAAACCAUAUCCACCCAAUCACCCAACCCAAUCCACUUUUUUGGAUUUUGUGGGUGUGAGUUUGACGGGUUUUUUGAGUUUACCCAACCCAUGUACACAGUACACCUCUAGUUCAUACCCGUAGAGUUUUUUUAAAUUCUUUUGUGUUGAAUUGAGUAAAAGUUUCUCAAGGGAAUUAUUUCAAUGUAUUGUUGCUUACCUUUAGUUUGGCACAAUGCAAUGCAAGCUAUCAACUUGCGUACAAAAUUAAUCAGAAAGCAAAGUAAAUAUAUCCAAAUCAAAAUAAAAAUUGAGUCUAAUAAACAACAUUUAUAGUGAAGUAGGAAACAACCUAUGAAUGAACCAAGAAACAUGUGUAAUGUAAAAUUCCUUAAACAUCAUAAUAUCCAUGCAAUAAAAAUAAUAAUAAAAAUGAAAAGGAUAGGCAGAGUGAGUAGCAGAUGAAACACAAUUUCUUCAGCUUAUGCUGAUCCUGCUUGGUCCAAAAGUAACAAAGUUGAUUAAAAAAACAUUAUUCAUCAAUUAGAGGUAUUAUUUUUAAACAGUUAUUACACAUAGUAUAACACUGCUUAAAUAACCUUUACAUAUAAUUGAGAACCUACAACUAUAUAACACUCUUUUUCUAUCAUAAGAAAAUGAUUAAGUUUUCUCUCUUUCUUUCCAUUGGAAACUAGGUUAAUGUUGCAGUUUCAUUUAGAUUCCAUGUAGUCAGAGAUUCCCCGCAUUCACGCUGUUCAAGAUCAUGACCAGUAUCAUAAAACUCGAUCAUGACCUCCGUCUAAUUCCAACCCCAAUGUAAUUUGUUCCAUUCCCCUAAAGUUUACUUAUAAACUGCUAAGUAUACAUUCUGAAAACUUGAUAGACUAUCCAAAGAGUAGAUCAUAUGGUUUUUUGCAUAGUAAAGAAGGGAUCCAAGUAUUCUGUUAUGUAUUAUGUCUCUUACAAGAGCAUUUAUGUGCAUGUGUAUAGGAAUUGAAUUGGUUCAAUUAGAUUGCAAAUGCUGCUAUACUUACGUACAUCGAUGCUGUAACAAAGGGUGCAUUCUAGCAAUGGAUGCUAUUGAACUAUUAAAUAUGUCAUGAGCUUAGAAAUUUAUCAACUGAAUGAACUGAAAUAAAAUUGACAAGAAAACAGAUAAUCAUUCAACAAUAUAUUAAAAUCAAAACCAUGAUAUGGAAAUAAUCACAAAAUACAUUCUACCAUACACAAGCUAACACAAAUUCAAAACCAUGAUAUGGAAAUAAUCAAACAAAAACUUACUUUCAAGAAGUUGAUACCAAGCUUUCAACAUAUCCCUUGGCAGUGGACCACCAAAUUUUAUUGGUACUUUUAAUUCUCUUUGCUCUAUUAUCUUUCAAAUUAUAGAGAAUUGCUUGGUCUAGUAAAUUGAUUGCAAAUAUCAAUGUAUCACCAUUCUCAGAAAAACACAAUGGCCUCAAUCCAAGACGAUAAAAUAAUGAAUCAUUAUAGAACUCCUGAAUUUUAAAAUCGUUUAGAAGAUUUGUAUAUCUAAUUUUAAGGAAUUGCGUCUAAGAUUCUUCAACUCCAAAUUCCUUCAUUUGCUAAAUAACAAAAUAGGUUUUCUUAAAAUCAUAAGAAAAAUAGAGGCAAUCCAUGUAGGAAAAUCAUGUAGCUCUUCAUCACAACAUUGAGGGAGCAACAAUUUUGUAUAUGUCUCUGUCCCCAAAUCAAGUGAGAUCAUCACGAAUUGUUCAACUGUAAGAUUCUUCAAAUGACAAUUAUAUCGGUGACGAACACACCAACUAAUACUACUUUUCAAAUAAACACCAUUUUUCACAUUCUGACACACCAAUGCCACAUGCAAACAAUCAAUGUCUCUCCAAUCAUUAUCACCCAAAGUAAAAACUCUUACCACGGUUUUCAUAAGGUCGUCGACCCUUUCCGAACUGAACAACACCAACUUGUAAGUGUUUGUUGAAUUAUCAUAACCAAAAGUGAAGUUGCAAACAUUUAUAUUUUUAUUGAGCGUGAGAUUACUGCAAAAAUCGCAAUCAAAAUCGAUGAAUUUUGUCUAUUUUGAGAUUCUACUAUCGAUUUGAGUCGUUGAAGGUGAAGAAAGUCGCAAAAUCCUGAAUUUUAGGAUUUAAGUCGGGAUUUUGACAACAAUGAGUACAAUCAAUCUUUAAAUUAGUAGUAAAAUGAGUUUUUGUGUUUUGAAAAUAAAAGUUUCCUAUCAAUUAAAAUUAUAAUAACUAGAUAUUAUUUACCAAAAGUUUAAAUGAAAUACAAUUUAUUUUAUCAUUUUCAUUACUCAUAAUAAUGAAUACUGAUAAUUUUUUACCAUAAAAUAUAAAAAAAUUAGUAUGAUUUUUUUAAAAAACGAAAUAAUAUAUUUUUUUAUGAAAUGAUAUUUUCUAAAACAUAAAAAUCGGCAAGUAAAUUUUUAUUUCAUAAAAAUAACUGUUAUUUUAUUGAUUUAGAAAAAAUAUAUACCGGUACAAUUAAUAAAUGGACCUUCGAAGCUCCUCGGAUUGAAUUAGGUUUUGAAAAAUAUUUUCACCUCACACUAUCCCACACUUAAAUUUUUAUAUUAUAUUUUUACUUUGAUGUACUUAUAAUCACCUUGCAAACUGCUAGUGUCUGACUCUCAAACUUUAGCUUGUUCAUAUCAUAAUCAUUCAACAUAUACCUAAAUUGAUAAGUCUUGACCAAUCAAUCUUGUGGCUGAUAAAAACUAGAAGAAUAGCUACCUCUUACAUUAAAGAGUCUUCACAUGACACUAAUAAGAUUGCAGAAAAGUAAGAGUCUUUAGUAUGGCACAAUGUAAAAUUGAGCAAACUAUCACCUUGUGUGCAAAAUAAAUCUGAAAACAAGGUAAAUGUAACCAAAUCAAAAUGAAAAUUUAUUCCAAUAAACGACAUUUAUAGUAUGGUAGGAAACAACCUAUGAAUGUACCAACAUAUGUAAUGUAAAAUACUUUAAACAUCAUAUAGUAGGAUAAGUAGCCUGCUUCAUUGCUUCAUCAAAACAAGGUAGAAUUAACAGUUGAUGAGGACCUCUUUAUAUGAGCAUGAUCAGAGUGCCUUUGCUUAUUAGGAUGAGCAGAUGAAAAACUGUUUCUUCAGCUUAUGGUGAUCCUGCUUGGUCCAAAAGUAACAAAGUUGAUUAAAAGGCUAAAAAAACCAUGUUCAUUAACUACAGCUAGUAUUUUGAACAGUUAUUAUUCAUAAUAUGACUCUCUUUUUCUGUCAUCAGGAAUUAUCAAGUUUUCUAUCUUUUUUUUACAUUGGAAACUAAGUUUUUCUUUUAAUCAGCAAUAUUUUAUUAAAAACCUGAUCCCUGCACAAGAUGAACAGAGACCGGUGUUUUUUUUUUUUUUUUUUGAAUCAGCAAAAUAUUAUUAGGCUCAGUUAGCACAAGACGCACAAAACCGGCAAAGGGGGGAAAAAGAGUACAAAUAGGCACCAACAUAAAAACGAUAGGCACCUCACCACCAUAAACAACACUCAAUAAAAAAAAACCUAGGUUGCAAACACCAACAAAGAACAGCACCUAAACACAACAAAAGCAAAACCAGAAAAACACACUGGCUGCAGCACCAUGACAGGAAUAGCAACUGCCUAAACCAGUAACAGCAGGCAGCACCACAGCAUGCCGAGAAAAACCAACACAGCUCGCUAAAAAUGAAGCAAGACCGAGCCACUACAGAGAACAGACAAAUUCCACAGCCAAACACCCCUCAGCAGGACGCAGCAGACCCAGCACACCAAACAAAAAACACACCAAAAAACUUCCAACACCACGCUCAAGCUUGGAGACAAAAGCGAGGGUUCCAUCACCACUCGUAAAACAAACAAGUUGCAAUGUUCAACCUACUCAAACUUCAUUGCCACGAGAGCACCUUAACUUGAUCCACCAUCUCAUCCACCUCCAUAAUCUUAUUCUAUAAAAAUAAUAUUAUUUCUAGAAUUCCAAACCACCGUAUGCCAAAUUAACCAAGCUCCACAUCUAAGUCUCUUCAAUCUAAACUCCCUAGACCAUCAAAUGACAUGAAUAAAAAGAUUAGGCGGCGUUAAAAAAUUAAAACCCAACCAUCUCAUAACCUCACUCCACACCGUGGCUAUCACCUCAUAAUGGAUGAAUAAAUGCACCGCCGUUUCAUCCUCACCACCACAAAACACACAACGCUUAGACUCUUCACACCCCAAUAACCGUCUCUUGUGAAGGUUCACCUUCGUUGGGAUUCUAUCCAAGAACAAAGUCCACGAAAAAGCCAACACCUUAGCCGGUGCCUUACUUUUCCAAAGCUCCUGAUACACCACCUCCUCAUCCAAAGUAAACACGUCGUCUAAAAGCCAUCUAUCUUGUAACAAUAAAUAACAAGACUUGACGGUAAAAACCCAUCCCUCCUCCGGCUUCCAAGACCUCGAAUCCACUCCCUCCCUUACCACCACCCCUUGUUAUAAGAGCAUUCACAAGCUCCCUUUCCCACACAAACAAGUCUCUACACCAACGAAGCCCCCAUCUCUCUCCAACCGCAUUCCUUUCCCACACCUCCACCACCUUCACAUCUUGACAAUUUGCUAAGGUGAAAAGGCGCAGAAAAAAAAUCCAUAAAAGGCACACUAGUAAUCCACGCAUCCUUCCAAAAGUAAGUUUCCAAGCCAUUACCCACCUUCCGAAUCAACUCCCUAUUAAACCACCGGUUCCCUUCGACCUCCUCCAACUCCAUUAAAUCUCUCCACCACCGAGAAGCAAACCAUGGACAAGUCUCCCCCACCACUCUACUUUUAUAACCACCCUUGGCCCAUAUUUAUCUUCUAACACCUCCUUCCACAACGACCGUUAACCAUCAAGAAGCCGCCAUCUCCAUUUAGCUAAAAGGCGAACAUUAGCCAAUUUGACAUCUCUCACCCCUAGCCCCCCUUUACUUCUUGGUUGGCACACUUUCCUCCACCUCACACAACAAAUCUGGUUGCUACCACCCACUCCGCCCCAAAGAAACUUUCGUUGAAUAGCCACCAAUUUUUUAAUGACCUUAGCCGGCAUCUUCAAAAAUGUGAGAUAGAAAAUGGGGACCGAAUUUAACACCGAAUUAAGGAGAACAACAUGGCCACCUAAACUAAUAUAUUUAUUCCCCCAAGCAUUAAGCUUGGCACUAAGCCUCUCCAACACCGGUUCCCAAGUCAACAAUUUUCUCGCAUUUGCUCCCACCGGUAACCCCAAAUACAUGAAAGGAAGUGUAGCUUCACUACAAUUGAGAAAACCUAACGCCAUCCCCAUAAACUCCGACGAGACAUUCACACCUAUAAGGCAACAUUUGUGGAAAUUCACCUUUAAACCGGACACCAUUUCAAACCCCCUUAACAACGCCUUAAGAGUCCACAAAUUCUCAACAGUCGCUUCCCCCACACAUAAAGUAUCAUCCGCAACAGGAAGUACAAACAAAAGGCGCCGUAUAUAGAUGGAACACUCGAAAACAAAACACCAACAAAGACACCCUUGCGAUCAACACCCAUAAGGACAAAACCCACCAAAAUAAACAUCCCCACAUUGGAAACUAAGUUGAUGUUAGAGUCGGAGAUUUCCCACAUUCACACAUUCGGGACAUCGAUGAUAGACAAAUCAUAAAACUCGAUCAUGACCUCCCUAUAAUUCCAAACCCUAUGUUGAAACAAAGGAUCCAACAAUUCUCCUAAGUCACAUGUCUCUUGGAAGAGGACCCUGCAUAAAGCUUUUAUACCCUCUCAAAUCACUAGUCUUAGUUAGCUUUCUUUGAUGUAGGCUUAUUUCAAUCCAAAUUUCUAUAUCUUCUUAUUAUCUAUAAUCUCUGUAAGUUACAAGCAUUUAUGUGUAUGUGUAUAGGAAUUGAAUUGGUUCAGUUGGAUUGCAGAGGCUGCUAUACUUACGUACAUCUAUGCUGUAAAUGUGUGCAUUCUAGCAAUGGAUACUAUUGAACUACUAAUUAUAGCAUCAGCUUAGAAACUUAUACCAUUGUACCAUACACAUCAAAGUUCAUUGUUACCAAUAUGAUUAUCAAAUAAACUUGAGGGCAAAAUGAUUAUCAAAUAAAACCAUGAUUUGAAAAUAAUCACACAAUAUAUUGUACAUCAUACAUAAACUAACUCAAAUACAAACAAGUAAAUCAUCCAAGAGAAACUUACCUUCAAAAUAUCGAUGCCAAGCUUUCAACAUAUCCAUUGGCACUGAACCACAAAAUUUUGUUGGUACUUUUAAUUCUCUUUACUCUAUUAUCUCUCCAAUUAUAGAGAAAUGCUUGGUCUGGUAGAGUGAUUGUAAAUAUCAAUGUAUCACCAUCGUUAGGAAAACACAAUACAUUGAUUGUAAAUAUCAAUGUAUCACCAUUGUUAGAAAAACACAGUGGAAUCAAUUGAGGAGGAUAAUAGGUUGGACCAUUAUGAAACUCAUGAAUUUUAAUAUCUUUUGGAAGAUUCACAUAACUAAUUUUAAGGAAUUGAGUCCAAGAUUCUUCAACUCCAAAUUCCUUCAUUUGCCAAAGAACAAAGUGGGUUUUCUUGAAAUCAUGUGAAAAACAAAGGCAAUCCAUCAACACAGAAAGAGUUGGAACAUCAUGUAGCUCUUCAUCACAACAUCGAGGGAGCAACAACCGUGUAUAUCUCUCUGUCCCCAAAUCAAGUGAGAUCAUCACAAGUUGUUCAACCAUAAGAUUCUUCAAAUGACAAUAAUAUCGGUGACGAACACACCAACUAAUACUACUAUUCAAAUAAACACCGUCUCUCACAUACUUACCAAAAGGAUGACUCACCACUACCACAGGCAAACAAUCAAUUUCUCUCCAAUCAUUAUCACCCAAAGUAAAAAGUUUAACCGCGGUUGUAUUAAGUUCGCCAUCCAUUUUCAUACAUAACAACACAACCUUGUAAGUGUCUAUUGAAUUAUCAUAACCAAAGGCGAACUUGCAAAUAUUUUUCUUGGGCUCGGGAUAGUUGCGAAAAGACACCAAUGUUUCAGAUUUUGUCCUUGUGGCAGGAUUCCAAAAAGAGAAUGAGUGUUCAUGAUACUCAGCGGUGAAAGAAGAAUCUUGUAUGCAGACCAAUCCAUUGCAUGAACCAACAACCCUACCAGCGUCCUUGUAAGGGAAUUGGUGGUAAGGAUCGGUAAGGGUGAGAGAAUGUGAGUUACUCUCCAGCAAGCGAGAGAUGGGGACUGUCCUACAUUCUGCCGAACCUUUAGACAUGUUUGAGAGAAAUGCGAGGUGACUCAUUGGUGUAGAUUGCUUCUUAAGGUGCAUUUUGGCGAAGUAGGGAUCGGAUAUUAGGGUUUUCCAUGACUUGCAAACACACUUCAUCAACAUUAGAGAUUUUACGUGAGGAACGUUAGGACUUCAACGAUAAGGUCGUCAUGGAGAAUUACCAGAGGAGGGAUAUUCAUGAGAACAGUACGGUUAUUGAAGUUGUACGUGAAACCCUAGAAAGAUGAUGUGGUUGUUGAAAGUGACAUAUAUACGCCAAUAUUCCUUUUUUUUUUUUUUUUUUUAAUUUUUAAAAAUGUUGUGGUUUAAAAUUUUAAAAGAAGAGUCAAUCUUCAUUAAUUUAUUUUUGCCUUAAAAAAAGUUGUGAUUUAAAAUAUUUAAUAUACACCAAUAUUCCUUUUUUUUUAAUAAAAUUUUAAAAAAUGUUGUGGUUUAAAAUUUUAAAAGACGAGUCAAUCUUCAUUAAUUUGUUUUAUUUUAUUUUUGCCUUAAUAAAAGUUGUGGUUUAAAAUAUUUAAUUUCUAUGGUACAAUUUUUUUUUUUUGAGGGAGUUUCUAUGGUACACUUGAAAAUUCGACAUUUACUAUGCAAUCAAUCAUCAAAUUAGUAAUUAAAUGAAUUUUUAUCUUUUGAAGAAAACAAAAAUGUUUCCUAUCAUUUUAAAUUAUAAUGAUUAAAUAUCAUUUACUAAAAGUGACGGUGAAAUAAAAUUUAAAUUUUCUGAAUUUUUACUACUCAUAAUUAUUAAUAUUGAUUAUUUUUACCAUAAAAUGUUAAAAUAAUCUUCUUUUCUUUCUAAAAACAUUAAAAUAAUGUUUUUUCUUAUGAAAUAAUAUUUUUCUAAAAUAUAAAAGUGGAUAAAUAACUUUUAUUUCAUAAAAGUGAUCAUAUUUUUCAUAAAAUAUCUAGUAUAUGUCUUUUAAAAACAUCGAAGUGAUGUUUUCUUUUUUUUUAAAUAAUACUUUCUAAAAUAUAACAUUUGACGAAAACAUUUUUAUUUUAUAAAUAAAAGUGGUCAUUAGUAUCUUUUGGGGAAAAAAUUUAGGAAGAAACCCGUACAAAUUUAUGUGAGUUGGGCUUCUGGUCUUACUCGAAUCAAACCUUAAGUUUAAAGAGCACUCACAAAUGUACAUAUAUUAGUCACCUUGAAAGAGGUUCUCACAUCAAUAGUGAGAGUUGAAUCCACAACCUUACAUGCAAUGACAGUUCUACAUUUUGGAUGAGAGAAAAUAAUCUGUGUAUAGAGAAAAAUAAAUUGAAAAAGUAUGUAUGUGUGUAUACUGUGUCUCUUUGUUUUCUGUUAUGGCAAUCACUGUUUAUUGUAGUAAGUACGUGUAAAGAAAAAAUGAAGGAUCUUUCACUGAGAUGUGUUGUUCCUUAUAUUAAGGAAAUAGGCAUAAUAAUAGGAAAUCUGAUGUAAGCCUUUGACCAAACGGUUAAGCAUCAAUUGAUACAAAACUAAAUAUAAAAUAAAUUUGACAAAUAAGGCUUUGACUAAGUAAAUAUCACAUGGUUAAAUCAACAAAAAAUAAUGAACAACUUUUAAUAACUUUUGAAAUAUAAUAUCAACUCAAAAAUACAGCAAAUCCUCCACAUAUUUCAAAAGUUAAAAUAAAAGGUUAAAAAGAGUUUUUCCGGAUAAACAUCGUAGAGUAAUGCAUCGGAACAGUAUAGCAAGCUAUGGAACCCGUCAUAGACUAAUAAGACUUAACACACAGUGAGUUGAUUUAGCAAGCUAUGGAACCCAAGACACUUGUUGUAUGUUAGAGGUCUCACAAUCACAUUACACUCCCACAAUUCUUGCUGUUACGCGGUUGUGCGCUAAUAGGUCGUGCGUGUGCCUGGUAUUCAUGAGUGCUCUGGAGAUCCGCCACGGUCUCAUGCAAGCAGCCCCACUUGACACUCAUAUAGGUGAUUCCAUCUAGUGUAUGCUACAAUCAAACACCACCCAUAAGGACUUAUCAUAAUCAUUAAAAGCUUUUAAAGCUUACCCAUCAAUUAUAUAUUAUUUAGCACAUCUCAUCCAUUAUCAUACACUAUAGGAAAGAGACAAUAUUAUUUUCGUGCUUACAGAACUAACAAGUAAUUUGUUUUUACCCAUUGAACCUUCUUCAUGGGAUCUCCAAUCACAACGGUUGGGUUCCUAUUACUUGUCGUUUUCGAGUGGCUAUGUCUCAUUUCCCUAAAUUUCUUCACAAGGGGUUUUAUAUACGGAUCCACUUAAUUCACAAAAAUUGACUAAGACGUCUCUAAGUCAAUUAAACUCAUAUUUCAUCAAGUUUAUAAAAACAAACUCGGAUCACACAAUAAAUUAAUACAAGUCGUUGUUUAUUAAGCGACAACAUGUUCAUCAAUAAGAUAAAUCUACUUAUAGAUUUAUUCUCAUUGGAUUCAUAUCUAUUUGACAUCUUUGCAUUAUUUAAUACAAAUGUUUAUCCAAUCUGUAAACAAUAUCUCAUAUGUUAUCAAACUAAUUUUCAUAAUAUAUUUUAUCAGAUCUACUUAGAUAAAUACUAAGCGACAACAUCUUUACAAAGGGGGAAAUCAUAUUUAUGAUUAAUUUUAUUAUACAUGUCUACUUAAAAAACUUUCAAGCAACAAUACCCUCACAUCACGUAAAAUAGGUAGAUUUCUAUUCAAGUCUACUUGAAUGAUUUUCAAGUGACAACACUCUCACAAUGGAGAAAAUAAAUUCUAAUAAAUAUAUGUUUUUACAUAAAGAAAUUUAAUUAAACAUCAUUGUAUUAUUUUAAAAAAACGGAUAACCCAUAAAAUAUUUUUCAUAAUUUUUUCAAUAACUCCUCAAUUUUCUUUUAUAUAAGUGUUGGCAUCAUAAGAAAUGUUCAACAAUUUAGAUCCAAACCACAAACUGAAUACACAUAAAAUAUACUCUUAAAGUAAAUCAUCAUUGUUACCACUAAACCACAAAACUAACAGAAACUAUCAUUGUCACAACAUCUAAAAACAUGGUAGCAUAUAUAUUUCUCAACUACAAAUGAGUUGCACAGGAAUACACCAUAAACACAAGCGAUAACUAUCAACCUUUGAAAAUACAUUGGCUAUAUAUUUCAAUUUUGAUAAAUCAAACCAAUUUUAAAUCAAACCUUUGAAACUAUCAUUGUCACAUCAUCUAAAAACAUGGUAGCAUAUAUAUACCUAAUUGUGUAUUUUUUAUUUUUCAAUACAAGUUUAGAUGAGCUUACAUAGAGGUUUUUACAUCGACAACAGAAGUUAAACUCACGAAUCAAGCAAGCAGUGGUAGAUCUGGAACUUUUUGUUUUUCUCGAUUCACCCAUUUUGAUUAUUUUCACUAAAUUGAGUUUACAAUACUUUAAAAACAUUUUUGUUUUGAGUCGAGAGAAAAGAGCUAUCCGUUAGCUGGAGUCGCCUCUAUGGAAAGGCCAUCAUUAUGAGGAGAGGGCUAUCAACGAGAUGGAGCUAGUUCUCGAUUCACCCAUUUGAUUAUUUUCGGAUUUUUAUACUUUCUUUAAAGUUUAUUAUUUUGGUAUUAUUAAAUGGAAUUUGAUUUUAUAUUCUAUUUAAAUUUGAUUAUUUCAAUUCCUUUUUCUUUGUACGCAAUUUAUAUAUUUUCUUUAAAGUUGUGGAUUUGGGUUCACUUCUUUACGACAUUAGAAUUUUGAUAUAGUCUUAUUUGGUUUGAUAAAUUCACAAAGAUUUUCGAAUUUUCAUGGUACACUUUAUUGUGAGUUUAUUACAUUUUUAUACGGUUAGUAACUUUGUAAAUUAAAAUUUGAUUUGAGAAAAGGAAAUAAUCGUGCCCUUGUGUGUUUUCCUUCUACUUAGUGGUGGUUGUUGUCUCUCACUAAGUCCUUGUGACUUACCCGUUCAUCUUAUAUUUUUUUUUCAGAUUCAAAGUCAAGAGUAAAAGGCUUCUGGCAGAGUCAAAGAUAUAUCAUUUUCACUCUUUUGGUAGGUCUCCUUUGUGUAUAAACUGAACAAUUGGUGUAUCUGCAGCUAUUUGGAGUCUAUGAAUGUUUUAUUUUGAGAUGUGUGAAAAUGACAUUUUGAGACUCUGGAUGAGCUUACAUGUUGAUAAAUAAGAUUAAAAUCUUGGAAAUGUUGAAAAUAUAGAGGAUAUUCUGUCGAAAUUUCAGUGGCUAUUAUUUUGAAGUGAAAGUUAAUUUAAAAAUUGUUUAAAUUAUAGUUUGCCAAGUGUCGUCAAUAAGCUUGUCAUACUAGGUUGUUCUAGUUUGUGCACCGGUCAGGAUUUUAAAUUUUGGGUCGUGUCUUAGAAAAAUGGCUGCUAUAUACCAUUCUACCAUACACAUAAAAGCUCAAAAUUAGACUUGGUCUUCUUUUACCUUUUCCUUUCUUUUUAUGUACUAAGAACAUAAUUGAGUUCUUAUCUAUCAUUUUUUUUUUGGUUAAGUAGUUAACGUCUAUCAAACUAUAUUAUACGGGCGAAGUAAACUACAACGAUAAACGUGAGAGACAACUGUCAACGUGUCUCCCUUUGAAUUCGAGACCUUGCAUAAAUUCCACUCGCACCAACUUUUGUAUGCCACAAUUCAAACUAUCACCUUGUGUACAAAAUAAAUCAGAAAGCAUGGAAAAUGUAUCCAAAUCAAAAUAAAAAUGUAUUCCAAUAAACAACAAAUUAGAGUAAAGUAGGAAACAACCUAUGAAUGUAGCAAGAAACAUGUGUAAUGUAAAAUGCCUUAAACAUCAUAUAAUAUCCAUGCAAUCAAAAUAAAAUAAAAAUGAAAAGGAUAUGCAGCCUGCUUCAUUGCUUGAUCUAAACAAGGUAGCAUUAACAAUUGAUGAGGACCUCUUUGUAUGAGCUUGAUCAAUUCCUUUGCUUAUUGGGAGGAGCAGAUGAAACAAAAUUUCUUUAGCUUAUGGUGAUCCUGCUUGGUCUAAAAGUAAAAAAGUUGAUUAAAAAAAACCAUGUUCAUUAAUCACAGUUAUUAUUUUUAAACAGUUAUUACACAUAAUCGAGAACUUACAACUAUAUAACUCUCUUUUUCUAUCAUCAAAAAAUGAUUAAGUUUUCUCUCUUUUCUUUUUCCAUUGGAUUCCAUGUAGUCGGAGAUUUCCCGCAUUCAUGUUGUUCAAGAUCAAACCAUUUAUAUUCAAACUUGAUUUUUUGAAUUAUAUAACCAUUUCUUAGAUUUUGCAUUGUACACUAUUAAUUUAUGUCAGUUAAAAAAUUACAAGAAAUUAUGUAAAUUAGUAUAUAUAGGAAUUGAAUUGGUUCAAUUAGAUUGCAAAGGUUGCUAUACUUACGUACAUUAAUGCUGUAACAAAGGGUGCAUUCUAACCAUGGAUACUAUUGAACUAUUAAUUAUGGUAUGAGCUUAGAAAAAUGGCUGCUAUACCAUUGUACCAUACACAUAAAAGCUCAAAAUUACAACAGUAAAUAACUUUAAGGCAAAAUGAUUAUCGAAUAAAAAAGAGGAAACAACUAUAUGUUCUUGCUAUGAAUGAGCUUGGCCAUACAAAGAAUGAACUGAAACAAAAUAGACAAUCAAACAGAUAAUCAUUCAAACAAUAUAAUCAAAUCAAAACCAUGGUAUGAAAAUAAUCACAAAAUACAUUGUACCAUAGACAAGCUAACACAAAUUCAAACAAGUAAAUCAUCGGAAAAAAAACAUACUUUCAAGAAGUCGAUACCAAGCUUUCAACAUAUCCCUUGGCAGCGGACCACCAAAUUUUAUUGGUACUUUUAAUUCUCGUUGCUCUAUUAUUUUUUAAAUUAUAGAGAAUUGCUUGGUCUAGUAAAUUGAUUGCAAAUAUCAAUGUAUCACCAUCCUUAGAAAAACACAGUGGCAUCAAUCGAGGACAAAGAAAUAAUGAAUCGUUAUUGAACUCCUGACUUUUAAAAUCUUUUAGAAGAAUCGGAAAACUAAUUUUAAUCAAUUGAGUCCAAGAUUCUUCAACUCCAAAUUCCUUCAUUUGCCAAAUAACAAAAUGGGUUUUGUUGAAAUCAUAAGAUAAACAGAGGCAAUCCAUCAAUACAGAAAGAGUUGCAGCACCGGUUAGCUCUUCAUCACAACAUCGGGGGAGCAACAACUGUGUAUAUGUCUCUGUCCUCAUAUCAAGUGAGAUGAUCACAAAUUUUUCAACUGUAAGAUUCUUCAAAUGACAAUAAUAUCGGUGACGGACAACCCAAUUAAUACUAUUAUUCAAAUAAACUUUAUCUCUCGCAAACAUUAAAGAACGAUGAUACACCAAUUCCACCGGGAAACAAUCAAUAUCUCUCCAAACAUUAUCACCCAAAGUAAAAACUUUAACCGUGGUUGCAAUAAGCUCACCAUCCCUUUUCAAACAUAACAACACCAUCUUGUAAGUGUCUGUUGAAUUAUCAUAACCAAACGCGAACUUGCAGUUAUUUUUCUCCUUGGCAUAAUUGCGAAAAGACAAUAAUGCUUCAGACUUUGUCCUUGUGGCAGGGUUCCAAAAAGAGAACGAGUGCUCCUGAUAUUCAGCAGUGAAAGAACAAUCUUGCAUGCAGACCAACCCAUUACAUGAACCAAGAACNNNNNNNNNNNNNNNNNNNNNNNNNNNNNNNNNNNNNNNNNNNNNNNNNNNNNNNNNNNNNNNNNNNNNNNNNNNNNNNNNNNNNNNNNNNNNNNNNNNNCUAACUCCAAAAUAACUAAUAUUUCAUACUUAUUUUAAUUAUUAUUAAAUAAACCAUAUACUAAAAUAAUACACCACAUAAAACAUUCAAAAAUCACAUAUACACGAAUAUAUGCAUAUACUCCACAUAAAUCACCAAUCAACAUAUAUAAAUAUAUAUAUAUACUCCACAUAGUAUAAAAUUAAUUAAAUAAAUAACUAGGGCGUUACAUCAAUUAACAUGAUUUGGGAUCUAACAUGAGAGUAUUGUUCAUUUAAUCCUUUCAGAAAUUUGAUUACCUUGUCUUGUUCCUUGUAUUUUUUAAAAUCCGAAGCAGCGCCACAAGUGCAAUCUUUGGUAGGCGAAAAUUGUCAAUAUCUUCCCACUUCGCAGUUAAUUGAGUAUAGUAAUUAGAGAUAUCGAGGGUACCUUGUUGAAAUCGAGUUAGGUCAUCUUGAAUAUCAGCAAUUCAAAAAAUAUCCCCUUGUGAAAAACGAAGUUCAAGAUUUGGCCAAACAGAAGAGACUUUGUCGAUCCAUAAAAUGGAUUUAGAAAUACUUUCAGAAAUUGAGCGUUGAAGCCAUGAGAGAACCAUGUUGUUGCAGCGGAUCCAUGGCUCGUGCAAGACAUUCGUAGAUGAAGGACAUUGAAAACUGCCGUCGAUAAAUCGAAGCUUGUUCUUAGAAAUUAGGGCUACCUUCAUUGACUGAGACCAAGAGGAGUAAUUCUUGCUAUCAAGUAAAGGUGUAACAAGAAUUAAAGAGGGAUUUUCAUUAGGAUGAAGGUAAUAAGGAUUUGAAGGGUUGGUGGCAAAAUCUGCAUAGAUAUCGAGAACCAUAGUUUUUUCUGAAAAACAGAAGAAAUAAAUGGCAAGAAAAAGGGAAGGAAAAAUCAGUGGAUAGGACCUGCAGGUGCCAUGGUACCCCCAACUUUUCUAUAUAUUAGAUUAGGCAUACUUGUAUCACAGCUGUGCAGUUGGCGCAGUAGAAAUGACGUUAGUUUUUCUUGUGUAGGUCGCGGGUUUGACCCUCCCAUCCUCUUUCUUUUAUAUUUUUGUUAUAUUUUUACUAUUUUGUUCAGAAAAAAGCUCCUAUGUGGAAUCAAACCGGCAUCCCCUACUCUGCAAUCAAGCAAAAUAAACUACUAGACCAAUUAACAGUUAUGAUAUUUCUCUCUCACAGUUUAAUAUAUAUUUCAUACAAUUCUGGCACCCCCCAUAAAAUGUUCCAAGAUCCGCCACUAGGAAAAAUAAACUAGGGUAACUCUGAUACCAUAUUGAUGUUACCAAACCAAAAGAGAAAAGUUAAUGAAUAGAAAUAUAUGAAAAUUGUAUUAAUAUGAUAUAUGAGAAGUUUGCUUUCUGUACAUAGAGAGGGAGAACACCUUCUCUUUAUAUAAUAUAGAGCCGUUAGUAACAAUACAGACUAGCUCAUCACAAUAACUACAAUUAAUUACAUAUUAAACUAAUUUGACCAAAUAACAAUCAAUUUCAAUUAAUUACACAUUUGUUCAAGUAAUAUCAGGAGGUAAUACUUGAAUGAAUAUGUUAUGAUUUAAGAUCAUUUAAAUAUGAAGACUCAAAUAAACUACAUUUUUUUUCUACGGAUUAAAAUAAUAUAUGUUGAACUAAUAUAAAAUUAGUGUUAAAUUAAUAAAAUGAUAAGUAAAUAACUUAUAUCAAUAAAUUCGACCCUAGUUUUUUUUAGUUUGAAAAACUCUACAGUUUAUAUAUGUUCUUUUUCUCGGUCACUCAUCGAGGAAUGAUUGUUUUAUGUCUCUUUGACAUAGAGUUAUCGUUCUGAUUUUUUUUAUCUUCUUUUUUCAAUCUAAUAAGUGGUUUUUACAUAUAUUAAGUUUUUUCUUAUGUGUUUUUCCGUGGUUUCGUCGUCUGAUUGUGGUGUUGUGUUGUUCGUCGUUUUAUGUGGUGUUUCAUUUCACGUCUUGUUGCAGUGUUCAUUUGAUUUCCAUUGAUAGAUCGACUUCAGUCAAUAACAGAUUCAAUCAAUGAUUUAGGCAUCAACGUUGUAGAUUCGAAAAUAUGGAUAUUCCAAUGACUUAUAUUUUAUCACAUGAUUUGUAGGCAUUUUGCCGUUGUAUGUGGGUGUUGUGAGUUUGUUCACAGAUUCACCCUUUACGUUUUUAGCGAUGUUGAACAUAUUAUUGUAUUUGAUGUACUCUAUCAAUAAUAUAUUAAACAUAUUAUUGUUUUUGUUUUUGUCAAAAAAACCUUAUAUCAGUAAAGAUUAAUUAAUUAAUUAAAAAUAGUAAAAUAAAUUUUAAAAUAAUAAAGUUGACUCUAUUUAAAAAUAUCUAUUCAAGUGGAAAAAAAUGAAAAAAAAUCUAUACAAAAAAGACAAAAGAGAUCAUGAGAAACUCAAGUGGUUAACGAACUCCGACGAAUUGUUCAAAAAAAUCAUAUUCGAUUUUUGAUGAAAAUAAUUUUUAGUCGGACUUUAUUUAUCCACGAUUUAGAACUCCAAAUUAUUAGCUCAUUCUUCAAUGAAUGAGAGGAUUAACAAAAAAAAAAAAAAGAGUUGUCUAUCAUUUUUCUGUGUGUAGAUAGACAACCAUUAAAAACUCACUAUGAAAGUGGAUGAAUCAAAUGUUCGACAUCCAAUCAUGAAAAAACUUUAUUUAUUUUCGAAAUAACCAAAUUCGAUUCCUAAUGAAAACAAAUUUUAUUUGAACUUUAUUUAAUGUUGAUCGAAAACUCCAACAUACAUGGGUAGAUAACCAAAGUUCGACUCUGAGUCAAAUAAUUUCGAUAUUUUUAUCAAUUGAUCGCAAAGUUCUUCAAUAUCAUUUUCUAAACACAAAACUAAAAACAGUUCUUCUUCUUCUUCAACACUUCCAUCAUCACUAUCCCAAUCUCAUCACACAAAAAAAAAAAAAAAAAACAAUGAAAAACAAAACAAAGAAAAACACAACAACAACAACUACCUACGACAAUGCAAACUCCAACAAUCCAUGGUCAACCUUAAUCAACAAAGGAACAACCUUAACAACAUUCACAACAAUAGCAUUAUUCGUAUUCUUGAUCCGUUUCCUCGUAUCACUAUACCCAUAUUCAGGUUUCAACACCCCACCAAAAUUCGGUGAUUUCGAAGCGCAACGGCAUUGGAUGGAGAUAACAAUCAAUCUUCCUGUUCGUGAUUGGUAUAAAAAUGGAACCUUUAAUGAUUUGAGUUAUUGGGGUCUUGAUUAUCCUCCUCUUACUGCUUAUCAGAGUUGGGUUCAUGGUGUUUUUCUGAGAUUUUUUCAUCCUGAAUCUGUUGAGUUGUUUGAUUCUAGAGGGCAUGAAUCAUAUCUUGGGUAAGUUUGGAUUUUUAUCAUUUUUUUGAAUUGGGUUUUGUUUAAUAGAUCUUGUGAGAGUUAGAAUUUAGGUCCAGUUUGAAUUGACUUAUUUUUGAGCUUAUGUAUCAUUCAUAAGCUUCUCAAGGUAGUUUGUGAAAAAGCAGCUUGUGAAGAUACAAUUUUCUUUAGUGAGAAGUUAUAAAUUAGUAUAAAAGCUUAUUUAUGUGCAUAAGCUAUUUUCAUAAACUAAAAAAUAAGACAAUCCAAACGGGUCUUUAAUCAAGUAGUUAGACGUAAGUGGUUAAUUCGUUUUGGUUAAGAUUGAAUCAUUCAUAAAGUACCGGAGUUUGAUCUGUUGAAACAAUUCUUUGUUAAAACUAGCACUUAAUCAUGUGGUUAGAACUAAAUGGCUAAUCUGGUUUAGUUAAGAUUGAAUUUUAUUUGAGGGGUUUGGGUAGCUCAGCUGGUUUGAGCUAAAGGAUAAGGAGAUGGAGGUCAUAGAUUCAAACCUAGACGAAGGAGAAAAAAACUAAUUUAACAUUACUGACAUUUGCCAUUCAAAAAGAUGAUUGAAUUUUUUUAAUAGUAUAUGAGUUUGAUCUGCCGCGGAAACAAUUCUUAGUUAGAAUUAGAAAUUAAUCAAGUGCGUAGAAGUAAGUGGUUAACUCACUUUGGUUAAGAUUUAAUAAUUUGCAUUUGCAUAGUAUGUGAGUUAGAUAUCUGCCUGAAAGAAUUUUAGUACCCGAGGCAAGAUCAUUUUUUUCUUUCUUUCUAUAGUACCUGAGGCCGUGUUUGAUAUACGGUGGAAACAAUUCUCAGCGAGAAUUUGAAAUUAAUUAAUGAAGUGGUUAAUUCGCUUUAGUUAAGAUCAAAUCAUAUAUAGUACUCGAGUUUGGUUUGUAGCUGAAACAGUCCUUAAAGAGAGCUAGAAUUUAUUCAAGUGAUUAGGCGUAAGUGAGUAAUAUGAUUUAGUUAAGAUUGAAUUAUUUGGAUAGUACCCAAGUUUGAUCUCAUGAUGAAACAAUCCUUAACUGAUAUUAGAGUUUAAUAAAGUGGUUAUAAGUAAGUGGUUAUUUUACUUUACUUAAGUUUGAAUCAUUCAGAUAGCACCUGAGUUUGAUCUUUGGUGGGAACAAUUCAUAGUGAGAGCUAGAAUUUAAUAAAGUGAUUAGGCCUAAGUAGUUAAUCUGUUUUAGUUAAGAUGGAAUCACAUGAAUAGUUAAGUUUGAUUGCUGGUUGGAAUAACACUAAACUUUACUUACCUUCUCAUCAUUACUAGACCCAUUUUUUUCUUUGAAAGAUGGAGAGAAAAUAUGAUGAUUAGAAUUUUGAAAUAAUAAAGUUUAAGUCCAACGGAUUUAACUUCUGUAAACUGAACAAAUCACUAUCAGUAAUAAAGUAAGUAAUUUAAGCUGUUUAUGUGUUGAUUCGCAUUUGAGAUUAUGUGCAUAUAUAAUAUAAAUUAUGGUUGUGUUAAUAUCAGCGGGAUGAGAAAAUCAUAGAUAUGUUUGUGUGUUAGGUGUUGAUUUUUCUCAUUGAUUGAUAUGUCUAAUUUUACCCUCCAGAGUUAGAUUUGCUUUAGAAAAUUACGAGUAGGUUACAUUUUUAGGGAUCAAAAUGAUAGGUUGUAUUUCUUUAGGAACCUAUAAAUUGCUACAAUUUCUUCACUUUUAAUUUUGUUGGUAAGUAGCGACUUCACUGCUAUUUUUAUCAUUUUAUUUAAAAUGUGACCUACUUCUGCAGAAAACAACUAAUGCGGUGGACAGUGAUAUCAUCUGAUGCCCUAAUAUUCUUUCCAGCUGUAUUGUACUUUAUUAUUGUUCAUUAUAAUCAAACUUCACGGAGCCGUAAAACUGAUUUGGCAUUGCACAUUACCAUGCUUUUGCUAAACCCGUGUCUGAUCUUAAUCGAUCACGGCCACUUUCAGGUUUCUUUAUAACCAAAGCUUAUAUGUCGUUUCAUUUCUUUGGCUCUUUACUUCUUUUCCUGUCAUUACAUUUGGCAGUGCCUUGAUUUUUCAAUGCUGUAAUUUGUUGGAUUUCAGUACAACUGUAUCAGCUUGGGCUUUACUGUUGCAGCUGUUGCUGCUAUCCUCUCGGAGAAAGAUCUUGUUGGCUCUGUUUUCUAUUGUCUAGCUCUAAAUCAUAAACAGGUUAAUUGCUUCUUUCAUUGUAUUGGUCUAUUGUUCAUUUAUUUUAUUUCUCGACCCAUUCUAUGUUGUCUUUGUAAAUCACGUGCACUAUACCCUACCUAAGAUACCGAGGUCCAGUGCAAGUGGUUGGUGCGCAUGGUUUGUGAGUGUUGUAAACUGCGGAUACCGAGUUUUACUCCUAAUGAUAGAAAAAAUACCUUACCUAUUAUGGAAUAUUUUUAAAUUUUUUGUUAAGUGCUUAUGAUCCUACACUACUCCUUUUCAUUUUUUAUUCAACCUGGUGCUUCGUUGGGUUAUUAUCGGCAGUGAAGUUGUGAUACCAAUUAGUCGAACUCUGUAGAUUAUUUUUCUUCUUAACUGGUUAGUUAUAAUUUACUUAAGUAAUUUGCAUGUCUCAAGUAGGGUGGAUGAAAUGGUGGUAAAGUGGAAUGUUUCGGGUUUGAUUUCUGAUAGAUAAAUACCUCUCUAAAGGUUAAAGUAAAGUUUUAUUCCACAAUUAUAUGACCUGUAAUAUUGUAUGAACUGAAUGUUUGAUAGUAAAAAGCCAACAAGAAAGUAAACUUACAGAGAUAAUAAUGUUACGUUGGAUGAGUGGCUACAAAACAAAAGCCACAAAUAGAAACAAAAUUUUUAGAGACAAAAUUGGGGUAUCCUCUAUAGUAGAGAAAGAUGGUAGAACCUUAUCUUGUGGUUUGGCCGUGUAUGGAGAAAACCUGUAGAAGCAUUCAUAAGGAGAGUAGACCUACUGGAGAAAAGUCCAAUCGUUAGAGGUAAAGGGAGACCAAGAAAAACUAAAGGCCACCAAAUUAUUAAGAGUGGUUUAGAGGUAAAUAGUUCUUACAAUAUAUAGAGAUUCACAUUGCCUUUGAUAUAUUAGAUAGUUUCUUGUGUAGCAAGUUAUCUUUAUUGUAGUUAGUCUUGUAGAACACUCCUUGUAUAACUAGACAUUGUUUUCUCUUUUCCAAUUAAUGAAAAAUCACUUUCGUUCAUUUCUAUCAAUUCAUAAGAAUAAUCUAUCUUUAAACCAUGAGCAUGAUGAUAGAACACUAGAAAUCAAUAGGGUUGAUGGCUCAAUGAUUGGGCCCAACCCACGCACACAUGAUAUCACCUUCUAGAAUUAAAAGGGUAGUUACUAUUGCCCCUGAUUUCAUGGGAACAAUUCAGUUAUAAGAGGGUGAAGGAAGAAGUGGGGGAUUCUUUCAGAAAUCUUGUUUAGAGUUUGUUAGGAGAAAUAUCUGGUUUAGGAGCACCAUUGUAGAGCAUUGCUCGCUCCUUCCAUCAACAAAAUACUAUUUCCUUGUUCUUGGUUCUGAGUUCUAUCACAUGACGAGAUUUAUCAUAUUGAUUGAUUUAUGUAGCUGAACCCACGUAAUGGGAAAAGGCUUUGUUGUUGUUGUUUUGUUUGUAUGUCCCAAAACGUCUGAUGAUAUGAUUCUGAGCAUAUACAGUUGUUUGAAUCAAAUAAAAAAUUUAAACACUUCACCAGAUCAAUUUGAUGACCGACUUCGUGACAUUGCUAUUAUCAUAACAUGUAUUACAAAUGACAAUAAAUUUUGUGGUUUUUAAGUUUAAUGUGGUCUUUAGCUGACAGAGCCAUAUAGUUACCAGAAAAAGAAAUUGGUAGCCGGUGUCAAUUGAUAAGCUAAGGACAUCAAGAAUUGUAUCUGAAAUCAAAAUAACACACCCUCUCAUUUUUCCCCUUUAUUUUCGUUUAUGGUAUGGUAACUGUUUUAUGUGUUCUUUUCCAGAUGAGUGCAUAUUUUGCGCCCGCUUUUUUCAGUCAUCUAUUCGGCAAAUGCCUGAGACGUAAACAUCCACUCCUUGAGGUGACAAAACUAGGAUUGGUGGUGUUAGGAACCUUUGCAGCAGUGUGGUGGCCUUAUCUGUAUUCAACGCAGUCUUUUUUGGAGGUAACAGUGUUAUAAUUGGCUAUUAAAAAUGCAUAUAUGUUAUCUACUCCUGGGUGUACUAUUCUUACAUGGGAAACUCAUAACUACAUACUACAUAAUUAAGAAUUUUGAUUUCGUUUCAACAAAACAUUUAUAUUAGCCAAGUAUCAUUCUCUAUUGUGAGGUAUGCUUGCUGAUUUGUUUGAGUUGCCUUUCUUCCAAAGUUAGAAUUCUCAUGUUGCUUCAAUAUUUUGUGGAAGUUCUGCUUAUGUAGACCACCGUCUAUUGAAAAUCGUAAUUAAAAAUUAUUCAUAGAUAAUUAUUUCUUCAAAUUGAAAGUUUGCAACUAAAUUUACGAAUCUGGAGCAAUGAAUGCAGUUUUAGAAGCGGUUAUUUGAGAUGAAAGUAAUAAGCCUAAGGGUAUGUUUGGUUAACUUAAUUAUUUAAGCUUAUUUACUGGCAUACACACUUGUGAAACUGUUUGAUCCAGCUUAUAGACACAACUUAUUACAUGUCCAUAAGCUGUUUUCAUCUUAAUUUCAUAAGUUAUUAUGAAAAAAAAUGUAUAGCUUAUGUAUAGUUAUUUUAUAUUGUGAUAGAAAUAGCUUAUACAUAAGCAAAUAUAUGAUAAGCAUCCAUACUAUAAGUGCUUAAUUUAGUUGUUUAUCCAAACAAGGCCUAAGUCUAACGGAGGGAUUCAAGAAUAGAUAUAGAAGUAAUAUAAGUUAGUUCAAACCUAGGCUGUUGAAUGAUACAUCAAAUUAGAAAAGUUAAUGCCUUAUUUUUUGCCAUAUUGAUCUUUACCCUUGUUAUUUGCAUGGAACUUUUAACAGAUCCUCUCUCGUCUUGCUCCGUUUGAAAGAGGAAUAUUUGAGGAUUACGUGGCCAAUUUUUGGUGCGCCACUUCAAUUAUCAUCAAGUGGAAGAGAUUGUUUGCAACAGGGCCACUAAAACUUCUCAGUUUCUCUGCAACAAUUAUAUCUUGUUUUCCUUCAAUGGUUCAACAAAUAAAGUCUCCAAGUAAUAAAGGGUUCCUUUAUGCGCUGCUUAACUGUUCUCUGGCAUUUUACUUGUUUUCUUUUCAAGGUUGGUACUAUUUUCUUCCGAGUAAAUCAGCUUCUUAGUCCUUGAAAUUGUAAGUGUCAGUCAAUUUAUUAAAAAGCAAUUUAAUUCUUUAAAUUGAACAAUGUCGGUCAAUUUAGUCAUUUUCUCUAAUUUAACAGCAAAAUUUUAAAAUUUGUGGUUUCCUUGAUGCACCAAAAGACUACUCAUGUCAGUAUUGAGGUCUUAGUCGUUUUGAUCUAUGUAGCACAGACACUUCACGUCAAAGGCGUAUCUAGUGUCUGACAUGUGUCAAUGUCCGUGUUAGUACUUCAUUGGUUUUAAUAGAUGUUUACUAAAGAAAUAUUUUGAUAGAGUGACUAAAUUGAUUCGUAUUUUUUAAGGUAAGGGAUUGAUUUGCUAUUUCGAAAAUUUGAGGGACCAAAUUGCCCGAACCUUCCAAUUUAAGGACCAAAAUACUGAUUUACUCUUCAAAUACUUUCAUCUUGCUUAAAUCUGACAAUUUGUUAAGAAAAAUUCUUAUUUGAAAUUGUCUUUGCUUCGGUUAUGACUUUACAGUGCAUGAGAAGUCCAUUUUGUUGCCACUUCUUCCAGCAACCAUGCUAGCUUUGGAAGAGCCCUUUAUUUUCAAGUGGUUCAUGAAAUUCGCAAUGUUCUCCAUGUUCCCUCUAAUGUGUCGUGACGGCUUGAUUGUUCCAUAUUUCGCUUUAUUCGCCCUCUUUAUCUUGGUCCUCAAUGCACCUGGUCAACACAGAGUUAAAGAGAAUAACUACUUUCAUAAUUAUUUAGGCGCAACAACGAUUCACCUUAUUUUAUUUUUUUCUUUAAUUCUUCACAUAGUAUAUUUGACAAUGCAACCUCCUAAGAAGUAUCCUUUUAUUUUUGAAGCAAUAAUUAUGAAUCUGUGCUUCUCUCAAUUUGUCAUUGUAACUCUUGGCUGCAAUGUAAAGCAGUGGAUGUUAAACAAACCUGUCAAAUUGGAUGAAAUAGAAAAGAAGCUCAUUUGACAUUUUGGUUUCACUUUUGAAGUUAGAUGAGUUGUUUUUUGUUAGAUAGUUGGAUUAUGAGGUGUGACUUGUUUGAUGCAUUUCAACUAUGGUUUAUAUCAAUUGAAUUAGGAGAUUGGCCUGCAUUGACCUAUAUUGUAAUGAUUAUAAUAUUUAGUCUUUUGUUCUCUUGCCAUGUCUAUAUUUAUUUACAUUUUAAUUGUAAACACAAAAACUAUAUAUAUAUAUAUAUAUAUAUAUAUAUAUAUAUAUAUAUAUCAACCAGGAUCUAUUGAUAAGUAUGUACAAGCAAAGCUGGAAUAUUUGCUCUAAUGUACCCUUCAGAGCAGACAGGGUGGAUAAAAUAUAAAUUUACUUGAAAUUCUUUAAAUUCCUGCUGAUUUACAAUUCUUUUCAUUUUUGAAAUGUUACUUGAAAUUAUUCCUUUUCUCCUUUAUUUGCCAAAAUCAGCAAAGGGAAAAAAAAGUCAAUAAGAAUAUGUAUUUAAGUGCGGGUACCAACAUUAUAUUGGUCUAAGUGGAACUAAACUUAGAUCUUUUAAGUAAGACUUUCGGUUUGAGUUUGUGAUGAGACAAUGUGGUUUGGGGGGAGAGACCUUACUAAAUGUGUUCAGUCAGAUUCUCUGACACUAGUCAUCAAGAAAGUAAUUGAUACUUCGCACUAAUAACGUUGUUACUGAAAAAAUAUUUAACCUCAAGCGAGUUGAGAAAUCACACGUCUUAUCACAAUGAAUUGAGAAAUUACCUAUUAACUAUGCAAGUAAUUGAAAUUUAAUAUAGAACUCAUAAUGAGUUGGGUAAACUAAAGGUAUCCUCCAUGCGGAACUCCAAAGAUUUAUCCUUUCGAGAUAGUGAGAUCUAUUUAAAGGAUUGACCUCUCCAAACAAAAACUUUUCCGUAUACACUUGUUAGGAAUCAAACCAUGAACAAAUUGGUUAAGUGGAUCAAGUAUCUAUCACUCGUACCACGCUAUGUUGGGUAAUCGUUCUUUUAUUUAUGGCCUAACAAUAUUAGUUUUCUAAUUAAUAUAUAAACACUCAAUUAAUUGAUGUUACAAUGGAGGUGCUUAUUUAGUUUGGUGCUAAAUAGGGGAAGAAUCCCCAUUGUAGAUGGUCUUUGAACUAAAAAAAAAUCUAUUGAAAGCAAACAACAGAGAUAUGACAUGUGAGUAUUACCUUAAAAAAGCAUGUCGAUAUAUAUAAUUUAUAUAAAAGAAUUUAAUUAAUCUCUAUGUGAGCAUAUAUUUUAACAGGCAUGUAAAUUAAGGAAAUGGAUCAUCCCACAUGUAAUUUGCACAUGAGGAGUGACAUGUAUUUUUGAAAGAGAUAAAAGGAGAGAAAGGGAGGACAGAUUUCUCAGACUAAUUAAAAUAAUAACUAUUAUAGAUUUGAUUAAAUUAUAUGAAAUUAUAACUAUUUUUAAAUUUAAAUUAACAAAUCGAUACUUAUUCUUAGUCAAAAGAAUUGAUACUUAUUUGAACAUUUUAUUGAACAUUUUAUAUUGAUGCCAAUAUUAAUAAAUGUAUUUUUUAGAGUAUGGUCUGUUACUUUUCCUUUUCUUUGAGUUUACUUAUUUUGUUGAUAAAAUGUAUAGGAAAACUAGUUACAAACCCGUGCUUCGCACGGGUUGAAUAACGUAUUAUUUAAAAAAUUUAACUCCGAAGAAUUUUUUUUAUAAAUUACGAAAAAUUGUUGUUCUUUAUAAAUGUGAAAAUCAAAGCUGCGUAAACCAAAAUUUUGCAACACAGAGCCUAAAACACUACAUAAAAAAUAACAUAACAACUAUUGUAAUCUCUUAUUCCUUAAAGUUAACUUGAACGCAAAAUUUUGCCCUAGAUUUAACCUAACUUUUUUGCUUAAUUGUACUGUAUUAACCCCAUUUAAUUUAAUCAAAAUGUUAAAGUUAAUUGUUAGGGAAAUCAAAAUAAACAAAUCGCUUCUAAUUUUUCUCCUUAAUUUUACUAAACAAAUUAUAUUAACCCUAGGUUUAAUUUAUGCAAAAUGUCAUCUCUUAUCUAUUAUAUUUAUAAACGUUAACCCGUGACGCAAUAUUAACUCUAGAUUUAACCUAAUUUUUUCGUGUGACUUUACUAUAUUAACCCUAGAUUUAAUUUAUGCAAAAUGUCAUNNNNNNNNNNNNNNNNNNNNNNNNNNNNNNNNNNNNNNNNNNNNNNNNNNNNNNNNNNNNNNNNNNNNNNNNNNNNNNNNNNNNNNNNNNNNNNNNNNNNNNNNNNNNNNNNNNNNNNNNNNNNNNNNNNNNNNNNNNNNNNNNNNNNNNNNNNNNNNNNNNNNNNNNNNNNNNNNNNNNNNNNNNNNNNNNNNNNNNNNNNNNNNNNNNNNNNNNNNNNNNNNNNNNNNNNNNNNNNNNNNNNNNNNNNNNNNNNNNNNNNNNNNNNNNNNNNNNNNNNNNNNNNNNNNNNNNNNNNNNNNNNNNNNNNNNNNNNNNNNNNNNNNNNNNNNNNNNNNNNNNNNNNNNNNNNNNNNNNNNNNNNNNNNNNNNNNNNNNNNNNNNNNNNNNNNNNNNNNNNNNNNNNNNNNNNNNNNNNNNNNNNNNNNNNNNNNNNNNNNNNNNNNNNNNNNNNNNNNNNNNNNNNNNNNNNNNNNNNNNNNNNNNNNNNNNNNNNNNNNNNNNNNNNNNNNNNNNNNNNNNNNNNNNNNNNNNNNNNNNNNNNNNNNNNNNNNNNNNNNNNNNNNNNNNNNNNNNNNNNNNNNNNNNNNNNNNNNNNNNNNNNNNNNNNNNNNNNNNNNNNNNNNNNNNNNNNNNNNNNNNNNNNNNNNNNNNNNNNNNNNNNNNNNNNNNNNNNNNNNNNNNNNNNNNNNNNNNNNNNNNNNNNNNNNNNNNNNNNNNNNNNNNNNNNNNNNNNNNNNNNNNNNNNNNNNNNNNNNNNNNNNNNNNNNNNNNNNNNNNNNNNNNNNNNNNNNNNNNNNNNNNNNNNNNNNNNNNNNNNNNNNNNNNNNNNNNNNNNNNNNNNNNNNNNNNNNNNNNNNNNNNNNNNNNNNNNNNNNNNNNNNNNNNNNNNNNNNNNNNNNNNNNNNNNNNNNNNNNNNNNNNNNNNNNNNNNNNNNNNNNNNNNNNNNNNNNNNNNNNNNNNNNNNNNNNNNNNNNNNNNNNNNNNNNNNNNNNNNNNNNNNNNNNNNNNNNNNNNNNNNNNNNNNNNNNNNNNNNNNNNNNNNNNNNNNNNNNNNNNNNNNNNNNNNNNNNNNNNNNNNNNNNNNNNNNNNNNNNNNNNNNNNNNNNNNNNNNNNNNNNNNNNNNNNNNNNNNNNNNNNNNNNNNNNNNNNNNNNNNNNNNNNNNNNNNNNNNNNNNNNNNNNNNNNNNNNNNNNNNNNNNNNNNNNNNNNNNNNNNNNNNNNNNNNNNNNNNNNNNNNNNNNNNNNNNNNNNNNNNNNNNNNNNNNNNNNNNNNNNNNNNNNNNNNNNNNNNNNNNNNNNNNNNNNNNNNNNNNNNNNNNNNNNNNNNNNNNNNNNNNNNNNNNNNNNNNNNNNNNNNNNNNNNNNNNNNNNNNNNNNNNNNNNNNNNNNNNNNNNNNNNNNNNNNNNNNNNNNNNNNNNNNNNNNNNNNNNNNNNNNNNNNNNNNNNNNNNNNNNNNNNNNNNNNNNNNNNNNNNNNNNNNNNNNNNNNNNNNNNNNNNNNNNNNNNNNNNNNNNNNNNNNNNNNNNNNNNNNNNNNNNNNNNNNNNNNNNNNNNNNNNNNNNNNNNNNNNNNNNNNNNNNNNNNNNNNNNNNNNNNNNNNNNNNNNNNNNNNNNNNNNNNNNNNNNNNNNNNNNNNNNNNNNNNNNNNNNNNNNNNNNNNNNNNNNNNNNNNNNNNNNNNNNNNNNNNNNNNNNNNNNNNNNNNNNNNNNNNNNNNNNNNNNNNNNNNNNNNNNNNNNNNNNNNNNNNNNNNNNNNNNNNNNNNNNNNNNNNNNNNNNNNNNNNNNNNNNNNNNNNNNNNNNNNNNNNNNNNNNNNNNNNNNNNNNNNNNNNNNNNNNNNNNNNNNNNNNNNNNNNNNNNNNNNNNNNNNNNNNNNNNNNNNNNNNNNNNNNNNNNNNNNNNNNNNNNNNNNNNNNNNNNNNNNNNNNNNNNNNNNNNNNNNNNNNNNNNNNNNNNNNNNNNNNNNNNNNNNNNNNNNNNNNNNNNNNNNNNNNNNNNNNNNNNNNNNNNNNNNNNNNNNNNNNNNNNNNNNNNNNNNNNNNNNNNNNNNNNNNNNNNNNNNNNNNNNNNNNNNNNNNNNNNNNNNNNNNNNNNNNNNNNNNNNNNNNNNNNNNNNNNNNNNNNNNNNNNNNNNNNNNNNNNNNNNNNNNNNNNNNNNNNNNNNNNNNNNNNNNNNNNNNNNNNAGAAGUAGUUUUUUAAAGUAACAUUCAACAGCUUCUGGUCAAAGCUCAUUCCAUUCAAUUUUAUGCGUUCAAAAAAUGUUCUUUUUUUAGUAAGUACUUAAGUGAUAUUGUGUUUGGCCUAACUUCUCCUUAAAAAUGUAGAGAAGUUUGAAAAAAGUCUUGUCAAACGAUACCUUAAUCUCCCACAACGGCAAUGUAGAAGCAACUGAAUUUGGGAGAAAAAAAUUUAAAAAUAGUUAAAAAUAUAAAAAUUUAUUAAAAAUAUAAAAAUUAGAAAAUAAAUAAAAAAAUUGGUUAGGGCAAAAAUGGAAAUUCAUAGGCCAACCUUAAAAAAAAAACUCAACAAUUUUGUAAUUUACCAAAUUGCCCCUUAUAGGGGCAAAAUGGUAAAUUCAAGGGACAUUAACUUUUAUAUUAGUAUAUAGAUCAGAGGUAUAGGAAAAUCAGAGGUAUAAUAAAUGUGGUCAAUGUAUUCAAUUACUUUUGUGUAUUUACCAUCAUAAAUAAUUUUAUUUCUAAUUAUAUAUAUAUUUUUUAAAACAUUUCUUAAUAAGUAUAUUUUUAUUGAAUACAUUUUAAUUUUCUAUAUUUUUUAUAGAAAUAUGCAUUUUACAGUAUCCUUGUUUUUUUUGUUUUGACAAAAUUAAUUAUACUUGCUUAUAUACUCUUUUUUCUAGUUAUUAGAAUAUCUUUUCUGAAGUUUCCGUGAACAUAUCUCAAUUGAUAGGGAUAUUGCAUAGUAUAUACUUGAGCCAAUAUUCGAACUUAAGACUCUCCACUUAUUAAGGUUAAAAAGAUGAAUUUCUACAACUAACCUUACUUGACCCAAAAAAUAAUUCUUUCAUAAAAAAAAAGAAUAUUAGAAUAUUUUUUCUCUAUUAAUGCUAAUAUUAUACUUUUUUUCAAAGGGAAUGCUGAUAAUAUAUUUCUCUCCUAUAUACAAUCAUGACUAAUCAUUUGUCAAAAAAAAAAAAAUCAUGACGAUUAUUCAUAAUUAUUUUUAAUAUGUGAAACCAUUUUAUGUGAUACAAACUUUCAAAUUAUAUGACCAGAAUGAUUUCAUUCAAUAAAAGAGAAUGCUAGAAAUAGAGUAUCCGUAACACAUAUUAAUACAUAAAAGAUAUUCUAAUAUACUAAUAUUAGUUUGGAAUUUUUAUUAAUACCGCAACCGUAUCUGAUUACUAAAUGGCAACAUAAGUGAAAGUAUUAUUCUAAUCUCUACCAAACCCCCCUAGGAUUUUAACAAAUAUACAACAUCAUCAUAUAUUAUAAUGUUAUUAUUAUAUUAUUAGUGAAGAGAUUGUGUUUGAAUUUGCACUAUAUAUGUUAACGACACUGAACAUCAAAUCAAAUAUUCAUUCAUCUAUAAACUCUAGCAAAUUCAUAUACUCAUUUGUAAUCCAACAUCUUUGAAUCAUCACUAAUUCAAUAUAGGAUGAUUCUCAUAACCCUUUUGGCUAUUCUUGUGACUCUAUUGUUUAAAGUUGCUUAUGGAACAAUCUCAUCUUAUGUGCUCACUCCAAUACGUAUCAAGAAGAUCAUGGAGGAGCAAGGAGUGUGUGGCCCUAAAUCACGUUUUCUAACAGGCAACCUUAAUGACAUCUCCACCUUUGUUUCCAAAGCUACUUCACAAGACAUGGAAGCAAUCAAUCAUGACAUUGUUGGUCGUCUUUUGCCUCAUUUUGUUGCUUGGUCCAGCCAAUAUGGUAUGACAAAAAAAUAAAAAUACAACAAUCAUGAUUUUAUGUGUGUGUAUAUAAUCUUUUGUUUUUGUUUAGAUGAUGGUUUUAAAUUGGGGUUCACAAUUCUUGAAAUUAGCAAAAAUUAAGGUUAAAUGCACUUGAUGUGAUUGGAAUAAGUCAGUAUUCUUUAUUUCUACUAUCCCAUUUAUUACGACCAUCUAUUUAUUUCUUUUGUCUUUUCUUCCUCGAAUCUGGAUUUGGUACAACGAAAUCACUGUAUUGUCAAUGUAUAUAGUAGAUCAUAGUUGUUUGAUCAAAGAUCAAGCAAUAUGUAUUAUGAUUAUACUAAAUUAUAUAUUAUAUUAAAUAAAACUCAAGAUGCAUAUUGUUUGAUCCGAUCUAACGACCAUUAUUUUCUAUCUACAUUGACUUUGCUCCGUGCUUUGACCAUGUACCCAAUUCAAACCCCUUCUCUUCAUAUCACUAUUUUUCUCAAUUUUCUAUCUCCUCUAACCCUUAUUUUUUCUUGAGAGAAUGUAAUCUGGAUCACAAUUGCUGUCACAUCACUCUUGAAACAAAUUGGAACAUUUGUUGGCGCUGCUCCCAUAAAAUAAAAUGGAGAGGCAAGGAAGAGAGAAGAAUCAAGGGAGACUUGUAGAGAGAGUUGUGUGGAGGAUAAAUUUAUUUACUAACGCCCUAUAGAUACAAUUAUAUAUUAAUAUUUGGUGGGUGAUUAGUAAAAACCUCUAUAAACAGUCUUUAAAUCUUGAGGUCAGCUCUGAUUUUGAUGAGUCCUGAAAAUCCAACUCACCUAAACUUUAUAUUAGAAUGAUAUUUUUUAUAUUAGUGCUUAUAAAUAUGGCCCCAUAGAGAGGGAGAGAGAUUGUGUGCAUGUAUUAAAUAAUGAUUUCAAAUUAUAUUAUUAUUAAUGGGAUUUUGCAGGAAAGAGAUUCAUAUAUUGGAAUGGAAUAGAGCCAAGGAUGUGCCUCACAGAGGCUGCAUUGAUCAAGGAGUUUCUUUCAAAGUAUAGUACAGUAUCUGGGAAAUCAUUGCAACAACAACAAGGUUCCAAGCAUUUUAUUGGAAAAGGCUUGUUAAUGGCAAAUGGUGAAGAUUGGAAUCACCAACGUCACAUUGUUUCCCCUGCAUUCAUGGGAGAAAAACUUAAGGUAUUGAAAAAUCGAGGAAAACGUAUUCGGUGCAAUUGGGGUAUCCCUACACUCACACAGUCAUGUAUUGCCGAUUGUUAGAUUUACAUCAAACAUUUCAAAAAUACGUAGAUUUUAUUUUAUUUUCGAAAAUUUGAUAUACCAAGUUUAAAAUUAAAAUUGUUACAUAUUGAUCUAACAUUCAUUGAUACAGGGUGACUGUGUGAAUUCAGGAUAUCCCAACCACAAGGAAUCAUGAUACAAAAAUUGAGACUAAUUAAUUAGUGACACGCUAAUAAAGUUUACACUAGUUAAAGUUGUGUUUCUAAAUUGCCAUUGUGAUUACGCCACAAACCUUGAUAUUAAGGCAAAAUACGGUUGGAUACAACUACUAUUACAACUGUGAUGCUGUUGCAAAGACCUCUAAAACCUUUAUAUUACGCCACUAAUUAAUUUUCUUUUGAAUUCCUUUGCUCUCUAUUUGAUACUUAAUGUAUAUAAUAACUAUAUAUAUAUAGAGCUAUGCUGGUCACAUGGUGGAAUGCACCAAGGAGAUGCUUGAAUCACUACAAAAUGCAAUAUUGGAGGGUGACAAAUAUGAAGUGGAAAUUGGAGAAUACUUCACUAAACUCACUGCAGAUAUUAUCUCUAAAACUGAGUUUAGUACAAGCUACAAAAAGGGAAAGCAAAUAUUUCACCUCCUCACACAACUCCAAGGUCUUUGUGCUCAAGCAACUCGCCAACAUUCCCUUCCUGGAAGCAGGUAUGUAUAUAAUAUUUGUGUGCGAUUCAACAUAUGUUGUGACAUUGUAACAUCGAUCAUAUUGUUUCGGAUAUAGGGCCCGUUUGUUACGGAUAUAGGGCUCAUUUGUUGAAAAUUGAUCACAUUGUAACAUUGUUUCUUCAUCUUUUGAUAAGUACAUUGUUAAACCUAAAAUAUCAAAAUUGUUUCGGAUAUAGGGCUCAUUUGUUACGGAUAUAGGGCUCAUUUGUUAAAAAUUUAUCACAUUGUAACAUUGUUUCUUCAUCUUUUGAUAAGUAAAUUGUUAAACCUAAAUAUCAAGAUUGUUUCGGAUAUAGGGCUCGUUUGUUACAGAUUAUUAAAAAAGUUAUUCUUCAUAUAACGAUUACGAUUGUUUGAUAUAGUGUAGUGUAUAUGAAUUAAGUCUAUGUAUUUAUUUAAAUUUGAUUAUGCAUGUAGGUAUUUUCCUAGUACUUAUAAUAAAGAGAUUAAGUCAUUGAAGAUGGAAGUGGAGAGACUCUUGAUGGAGAUAAUACAAAGUAGAAAGGAUUGUGUGGAAAUAGGUAGAAGCAAAUCUUAUGGGAAUGAUUUAUUGGGAAUGUUGUUAGAUGAGAUACAAAAGAGUGGAAGCUUAAACCUACAAUUAGUUAUGGAUGAAUGCAAAACAUUCUUCUUUGCUGGACAUGAAACAACUGCACUCUUACUCACAUGGACUGCUAUGUUGCUGGCUAGCAAUCCAAGUUGGCAAGAAAAGGUCAGAAUUGAGGUCAAAGAGAUUUUCAAUCAAGGAACACCUUCUAUUGAUCAAUUCUCCAAGCUCAAUGUGGUUAGUUCUCUCUAUGUCUAUAGUUGCACACAAAUGAUAUUCUUACAAAUUUACUUGGAAACAUAUUAUUUUUAAUAUAAUAUUUUAAAUAUCAAGAGUAUAAAGAAUUUUUCUUAUGUUCUCGUGAGUAUACCUUGGUUGAUAAUGAUAUUGUGUAUAUAUGUAAUGGUUGGAGUUCGUACCUCAUACGUCUCACUUAUUCAUCUUAGAGGUGAAGUUUUAGCCACUAAACUACUUGAAAAGAAAAAAAAAAAACUUUUCUUCCUUUUUACACAUAGUAUAAUUCACAUAGAUAUUCAAUCAUGUUAUACGGUAAUAGAUAGACAAUUCAACGAGUAAUGUGAUAAUUUGAUAACAUGAUAAAAUACCAUUGGAUUUUUUAGUAAAAGCUUAUUUGUUUUAUGGGUGUAUUUUUUUUUUAAUUACAAAUGUUAGUGGUUAGUUGUUAAAUUUAUUUAUUUUUUCCCUUUAAGAAAAAAUUAUAUUUUCUUUCGUUCAGGUUUGAAUCAGAACCUCCAACUCUUUAUCCCUUGACUCAAACCAGUUGAGAUACCUAAUCACAUUUUAUCAGUGUAUUGUUGUUAAUUUCUUUUAUAUAUUUUAAGAAGUACUAGUUUACCAUAAGAUCUUAAGCACGAAGUUAUUGCUCUAAUUUUAGAAGAGACAAUCAAGAAAUAUUAUAGUUUAACUAGGAUAUGACUCUAGAAGCAAACAAAGUAAACAGUUGAAUUUUUUUAGGUACAAAGUAAACAGUUGAUUUAAAUAUUCCAUAUUUGCAUUCAUGACUGCAUGUAGUUUCAAUAAUAUUUGAAAUUGAAAGGGUUAUCAUACUUUUAGAGUAACCAAAUGCUCAUAUGUUUAAGAUUAUUAAUUCAUGCUUGAAUGAAUUUUACAGUAAGGUUACAGCCAUACUUCUAGAAGAAGAAAUUAAAAUUGACACUUACACAUAUCUUGUAUUGUUUAGAUUAUAUUUCCCUUCAUGAAAAAUUUAAUUUAAUUAUAUCAAUAAUUUUAAAUGGACUAAUGUAAAACUCAAGUGUAUAAAGAAUUCUUAGACCACCUCUUUGUGGCUCUUGGCAUUUUAUUUUUUUUAUAUUUUUAGGAGAAAGAAAACCAUAAUAAAAAAUAUAGAAUGGGUCAUAUUCUACUCAUGAUAUGGUUUUAUGGCUACCCACUUCAUACAUAUAUUUGUAUUUUAUUUCUUCAACUCAUAGAGUUGAGAAGGCAUAAUAGAAAAUUAGCGUUAAUCAAAGAGUGAAGUGCUAUAAUGAUUAUUUUUAGUAGGCUAGAGAUUUUUCAAAACAUUGUCAUGGAAUCAGCAUUACCUUAUAGAAUCACAACCACCGAAAAAUGAGGCAUAUUUUGCACAUCAAUUAUAUAAUAGCAACUAUGUAGGUGUACCGGUACUCUUACUUCAUAAAUUUAAAAAUUAACAAUCAUUUUAUGAAAUAAAAAGCUACUAUUUAUCAAUAUUUAUAUUUUAGAAACAUCAUUUCAUUGUUUAUAAUAAUCAUAUUAAAUUUUCAACAUUUUCUCAUAAAAUAUAAGCAAUAUUCUUUAUUAUGAGUUAUAAAAAUUCAAAAAAAGUAAAAUUUAUUUCGUCGAAACUUUUGAUAAAUAAAAUUUAAUUAUUAUAAUUAUAAAUGAUAGAAAAUAAUUAUUUAUCUUCAAAAAAACAACUCAUUUAAUUAUUAAUUUAACAAUUUGGUAUACCGGCACACUCAAAUUUUUGGGUGUACCAUAGAAUUUUCCAUAUUGUAGUAGACACGUUUAUUUUAUAUAUAUAUAUAUGUGUGUGUGUAUUAAUACAUUAUGUGUUUUAAUGUAAUAUAAUUUUUUUGGUCUUAACCCUAUGAUGCAUUGAGAAAAUAGGCUCUAGUAAUUUAGGAUUUGACCGAAAUGACGUGAGUAAAGUAUGACUAAAUUAAUCCAGCAAGAGAUCAAACUUAGAUUCUCCAUCGAUUCGAACCACUUGAUUUGAUAGCUAUAGAAUGUUUUCAUGUUUUGCCUUUAUAUUUUGAUUAUAAAUUCUGAUUUAGGGUUUGGUGUUGCAGUUGCAUAUGGUAAUCAAUGAAUCAAUGAGACUCUAUCCUCCAGCAACCUUGCUCCCUAGAAUGGCUUUUCAAGACAUUGUACUAGGUGACCUUUAUAUUCCUAAAGGCUUAUCAGUUUGGAUUCCAGUGUUGGCUAUUCAUCAUAGUGAAGAACUAUGGGGUAAGGAUGCAAAUGAAUUCAAUCCACAAAGAUUUGCUUCAAAAUCUUUCAUGCCUGGUCGUUUUAUACCAUUUGCUUCUGGCCCAAGAAAUUGUGUUGGACAAUCAUUUGCUAUGAUGGAAGCUAAGAUUAUAUUGGCCAUGUUGAUCUCUAAGUUUAGCUUCACAAUUUCAGAGAAUUAUAAGCAUGCACCAAUCACUGUCCUCACAAUUAAGCCUAAAUAUGGUGUUCAAAUUUGUUUGAAGCCUUUAGAUCCAUAAGAUAUACAGUUCAUUUUUGGAUUAUAGAGUUUUUUUGUGGGGAUGUUAAUUUGCUUAGCAUUUUAUGAUCUUUUUACUACUUUUGGUUUCUCAAAUUUUGUAGUAAAAAAAUAGAUGAAGCAAAGCAAUGAUUGUAAGGAUUAGGAUAUAUGCACAUUCAAAAUAUAUUCUAAAUUAGCAAAAAUAAAGUUGAUGGUCUAUUUUUUAGAAUUAAGUUUAUACAUAUUUUGUUUGUCUCUAUCAAAAAUAAAUAUAUUUUGUCUUAAUCAUUCGAACUCAGAUUUUUUCAAACAAUUGAUCAUUAACUGAAGUUAAAGUUUAUUAAUCAAUCACUUAAAUCCAAUCAUUAGAUAAUACGUAACAUAAAAGAAGAUGAUGACAAUUACGAUAAAAAAUAUUGUGUCCCAUUAGUUGUGCAUGAUUAUAUAACUUUUGUAAUUACACGCGAUAUCUAGAUAAGCUUUUAUGGCCCCAUAAAGAGCCUAUAUACCAUUACUUAGGUUAAAUGAUCUAUUUCAUCACACUAAUUAAUACACCAUAGGAUAAUUACUUAAUUAAUUAUAAAAAGGGCGCAUAAAUAGCCCAAAUUGCACUACAACACUACAGAACAAUGAUUUGAUUCUAUUAAUGAUUAUCAUUUGAUCUUAUGUCUCUGUAUUAAGGUGAUUCAAAAAAAUUGGCAUCCUUUCAAAGAUGAAAUAUGGCAACUUGUAUGUAAAAUGAGUAAUGGUUGUAGGGUCAUUGCUACUUUGUGGAGCUUAUAAAGGUUUUUUUUUUUUUUUCUCAGCCACCUUAUCAAAUGCUUCCACCGGCUUAAGAUACUACUCCCACUAUCUUGUUUUCUCAAUCUUUUAUUUGAACUAUCAUUUAAUUUUUACAUGACUUGAUUUUUUUUUUUUUUUAAGAAACCACUUAAUUAGAGUCUUUGACACUCUAGUGGCUCCACAUAGUAUAUCUUCACAAGUAUCGUUCAUUUGAAUCAACUAUAAGACUAAUCUCUGCUCGAGUGCUUAGAUCACAACUUAAUGUUCUUCGUCCCUCUCCAAUAAUAUGCUCUAAAUUUAAUGCAAAUAAAUAUGGUACAUGUUUUAUAUAAAAUAAAAUAAAAUAAAUAUUUGCACAAGUUUAUUAAAAAAAAAAACAAGAAGAUAUUUACACAAGUUUAUGAUACUCACCUAAGACAAUCCAUAAGAUAAUAGGCUAAACUGCAGUUUUAACCCCCUAACUUUCACAAUGGUGCAAUUUUGGCCCCCUAUUAAAAAAAAUUAAAUUUUAAACCCUUAUGUUUUAGCCCCUUUGCAAAACAGACCUUUUGGUCAAUUUUGACCAGGUCAACGCGGAGGUGUCAUACCACAUAUGUAUUUUUUCAUUUAUUUUUAUUCAAAAAGCCAAUUGUGUAAUGCUUGGAAAAAAAAAUAUAUAUAUAUAUAUAUAGAAGGUGUUGGCACGUGAGAGCUUCCAACGGCUAAAAACUCCAACCUUAAAAACCCCAAAUUCUUCAACCCUUCUUCUUCAUCUGUUAACAAAAUUACACCCACCGUUCCAUAUUCUGAAAUGAUUAAAAAAUGAGCUAUUGAUUCUUCAUCUGGUUAGUCAAACGAAAAACUAUGAAUUGCAAAAUAUGAAAGUGUAUGUGUUGGACAGUAGCCAAUAGAAUGCAUCACCACUACCUUACUACUUCCUUAAGUUCUAUAAUAAUGUAUCAUCAUUACUAAUAUUUGAGUUAUCCUGCGAUUUACUCUCCAUGACUCUAAUCUCCAGAACGGUGGUGGCAACCCUUUCUAGCGGUGGUUAGCAUGUUUGUGGGAAGUUGUGGUUGAAGUAGCGGCAACCUCUAUCUGGGUUGUGGAAGCAAUUGAAAUGCCGGGUGGGGGAGUGCGGCGUUGGAGUAGUGACGAGUGGUGAACGUCCUUCCCUGCUUCUCUAUUGUCCUUCUUCCUUCCUUCUCCCACUCUCUGUUUUAAUUUUUUUUAUCUCUUCAUUUUGCUUCCCUUUUCCUAAUCUGAUUAGUUUGAUUUCAAAAUUGUUUGUAUACAUUUAAGAAGAACAGAUGAAGAAGAAGGGUUGAAGAAUUUGGGGUUUUUAAGGUUGGAGUUUUUAGCCGUUGGAAGCUCUCACGUGCCAACACCUUAUAUAUAUAUGUAUAUUUUUUUUUUUCCAAGCAUUACACAAUUGGCUUUUUGAAUAAAAAUAAAUGGAAAAAUACACAUGCGGCAUGACACCUCCGCGUUGACCUGGUCAAAAUUGACCAAAAGGUCUGUUUUGCAAAGGGGCUAAAACAUAAGGGUUUAAAAUUUAAUUUUUUUUUAAUAGGGAGCCAAAAUCGCACCAUUGUGAAAGUUAGGGGGUUAAAACUGCAGUUUAGCCAAGAUAAUAUACACAAGUUGGAUCAUUGGAGCUGAAAUCAAAGAGGCUUGAAAGAACAAUUAUCACUACUAAAAAAACAAAAAUUAGUGAGGGAUAUUUAGUGAGAAAACAUGAAAUUCCUCUCUAAUUCCGUCACUAAAUUUUGCGACCAAGGAAUUUGUGAGGAAUUUCAUUUUUUCCGUAACUAAUUUCCCUCGCUAAUUUUGCUUUUCCUAAUAGUGUAUUAAGAAACUGACUGUUUCAUUACCCAUCCUAUGAGCUUCUCACGCGUCUUAUAAAGUUCGGAUUUUAGAAUCCAAACUGCAUAAAAACUCCAUAAAACCUCCAAAAAUUACGUUGAAAUAUUUUAGAUUUUAGAAUCCAAAUAGGACGCACGAGAAACUCAUAGGAUGGAAAAAGUAAUAACGUAAAAAACUCUCUUGGUUAAAUGAUUAUAAUAGGCCCAAUAAGAAGACUUAUCUUUCUUUAUUUCCAAAUUAUGAUCUUAUAUUUCUCUCAAAAUAAGCUAGAAUUGUAUUCAAUUUUAGCUUACAGAACAGUUGAGUGGUUGCUCAAGAAGAGUGGAAUUGUGUUUUAUUUCUACUUUCCAUUAUAAACCUAACUAUUGUAUGCAUAACAAGGAGGAUUAAGGUACUUAUUAGCACUAAAAAAUAAUUGGUCGGAUCAUGUAUUGACUGCUUGGAUGUGGAAAGGGUUAUAUGUGUGUGUUAUAAAAAGACAAUUGUUGUUCUGACAUUCAAUGUGUCUUAGAAACACAAGUAAAUGAUUAAAAAUCCAGCGGCAGUCAACUGUUGCCGAGUUUUUAGUUAUAAGUCAUCCGUAAUUAACUACCGCUGGAGAUAUUUUAGUAUUUUACUUGUGUUUUUAGAAAGUAUUAAAAGUCAGAAAAGCAAUUGUCUUACAAAAAUGAGUGGAGCCCCUAAAAAAUAAAAAUGGCUAUCAUUGGACUAGUGCCAAUAAAGUGAAAAUCGUUGUAAACAUCUAUCCUUAAAUGAGGCGAUAAUAUUAUGAAUUUCACAUUGAAUGAAUAAUAAAGCUUGAUGUGACAUUUAGUUACGAGUUUCUCCUAUUGGUGUAGUUAUACUUUUUUUUUUCAUAUAUAUUAAAGCCGCUCCUUAUUUGUAUUGGAUUUUUUUUUAUAGGUAUGGGGGGUAUAAUAUUUAGAUGUGGGGGUCUAACUAUGAAAGUCUUUUCUUUUGAUUUGAAACCUUUACGUGAAUUGGUGAGUAAUCAAGCCCAGUGAAGGAGCAUUUUUAUUUUUUUUUAGGAAAAGUCUCUUUCGAUGUUUAAGCUUUAUGCUUAGUUUUUUUUUUUUCUUGUUUAAUAAUUUUACGAAAUGAAGAAUAGUUCAAGAAAUUUAAUUUUCAAACACCCCAAAACCUUUUUACUUGUGUUUUUAGAGUUCUAACCUUUGGAACAUGGUUUAGAAUCUCUAAGUUGAGUUAUACUUCAACUUAGUUGGAAAUUUGUAAAUGUGCAUACUUCAAGUGUUAGUCCAAAUCUUCUACCAACCAACUUCUAAUUGCUAUACUAACUAAUAAAACAGAAUUUCAACCAUUUUUUCUAACUUGCCUGCGAUGCAAGUAAACUAGUAAACUAAACUAAUAUGAAUCAACUAACUUAAUUGCCUCUGUAACACCCCGUUUUCCCAAUAUCAAAAUUUCUUUAAAAACAUAACAUUUAUCAGAGUAAGCAUCAAGCAACGGGUUAUCACAUAUAACGUAAUCCAACAGUUAAAUAAUAAUUUAACCAAUAUCUCAAACAUUUGCAGCGGAAAAUCAUAAACAUAAAUCAUAAACGUUUUGGCACGCAGGCCCAACAAGUAUCUCAAAAGAGUUUAUCAAAGCAUAAAUUAUCAUGACAAUUCACGUAAAAGAAUGAAGCAUGUUAUAGCAUUAACCCCAUCCCGUUACGUAUCAGAGCGACCUAGACGACACAGUGAGGCAAGGCCACUCACAGAAGCAACUGCACACUAAGCACGAUCACCUGCAAGUUACCCAUACGAAGGGCAACAUUUUCAAGCAGAAGGGGUGAGAUUUCAUAAUAAAAUAACAUUAAUCAAUGUAAUUGCGAAUCAUAAAUUAACAUCAUAAUCAUUCCAUUAUUAACUUUGCAUAAAUGCUAAACAGUUAUCACGUAAUCAUAUAUCCAAUCAUUAUAAACAACAUAACAUAAUCAAUGAACACUUAUCACGUAAUCACAUAUUCAUUCAUCAUCAACGAGGCAUCUUAAUCAUGACAAUGUGACAAUGCUCCUAGACUCCUCAUAUGCAUGUGGUACCAAUCGUCAUCAUAAGUAUUAAUAUACUUUAAUCGUGCGGAGGACAAAGCUCCUAUAAAACGUGCGGAGGACAAAGCUCCUAAUAUUCGUGGUGAGGACUAAGCUCAAUGAUAUGCUAUGCAUGGACACAUAUGAACAAAACAUCGUAAUCACUUAUCAACAUGCAUCCAAUAAUUUGGAGCUAAACUUCAUCAUAUAAUUAUGCACUUAGUUAAAUAACGGAAGCAGCAUAAAUAGGUCACAUAACAAGAUGAUAUCAUUAUAUCAAAGCACAUAAUUUGUAUCAUUAUCACAUCUUCUUAUCUUGCAUGAAUAUACAAUACAAUAGUUCAUAUUCAAUUAAUAUUAAUAUAACUUAAACAACUCUACAGUCUGCAUUAAACAACAUCACUAGGUCUCAUUACCAGUUAGGGGUUCACUCUCGAUCAACAAGUGCGACACAGAUCGCAUAAACACAUAAACAAGUUCAUCCUGGUUGUACUCGCGAGGCGAGAGUACUUACUCGCCAUGGCGAGUACCACUCAACUCCCAAACUAAGGUUGUUCUGGGUUCCCUCUGAUCCUACAUUCAUUCCUAAUCAAUACUAGGUAUGUUCAGGUACUCAAAGGCAUACAAGAUUCAACUAAAAAGGUCGAAACACGAAAUAUGACAUACACUCUGCCUAAGCUCGCGAGGCGAGGAAAGGUUGCUCGCCAUGGCGAGUUGCACCAAACAACUCGCGAGGCGAAGGAAAGGGGCUCGCGUGGCGAGCGAUGAAGUUCAUCACUCGCGAGGCGAGGAUCAUCACUCGCCGUGGCGAGCGAUGAACAGAAGCACGGGCAGACUAGGGUUUUUCUCAAAAAUCCAUCACACAACAUGGUUCAAAGCCUAAUUUUGAUUCCAGAAUUCAUCCUAAACAUAUUCUAAGGUUAAAGGACGGUUCUUUCAUCAAUCUAACAAGUUUUACCGUUUGAUCAUCAAUUUUUAGGGUUUUGACCUAAUUCCAAACUUCUCUAAAUCAAUCCUAACUUUGUCAACUAAUCAUCAGAAUUACAGUAAUUAACAUUAUUGAAUUAUUAGUCUCACCCUUACCUGGUUAUGAAGAAAUCGCAGCCCUCUCUAUGCUCUUCUCCCUUCUAAGCUUUUUCUCCCUUUUUCAAAAGUUUUCACGUACAAUGAGUUUCUAAAAUAUUAGGUCUUCUCCUAUUUAUAUCUCUUCCUAAUUACUUAUCUUAUCUCACUUUCACCCCCAAAACUAUCUAAAAUAUCAAAACAGCCCUCAACUAAAUAUUUUAUAUUAUUUUCAAAUCUUUAUUUUAUUUAACAAUAAAAUAAAUCUCAUAUCAUAAUCAAAUCCUCCAAAACUCAUAACUUAUCACGUCAUCAAUCAAAUCAUCAUAAAUCAUCAAAACAUACCAAAAUCAUGCAUAUACUAUAUAAUUAUAAUAUAAUUGCUUAAACUCAAUUAAAUAAACGAUUAAACGAAAGUGGGCGUUACAGCCUCUACCAUAAGAAUCAUGAUAGUGGUUUUUUCCUCUAUUUCGAGUUAGUUUUCCUUUUCCUUUAAAGUAACUCAUACCGUCUCUUGUGAGUGCGCAACCUCAUCUUCUUCACAUUGUUCGCAUUUGCAUAUGGUUUUUUCAAGAUAUCCAUGCUUCCUUGGAAGAUACAACAUCACCAACUCUUUCGAAAUUUUCAUGAUUCAUGCAUUGAUGGGUGAUGAACAAAGUCUUGUAGUAUUUCUUCUUCGCUUCGUUGUGUGCAACUCUUUGUGCUUAUGUUGGAUUCUCUCUAAGGGGAUCAACUCCGAAUUUCACUAAAUCUCGUGCAUCUUGAUACCAGAACACCAUCUUCAUUUGCUUGCACCAUUUAUCGUAAUUCUUUCCAUCUAGGAUGGGAAGAUUUCCUGAAAAAUUACCAUUGAACGUUGAAACCAUCGCAACACUAAAAUGGAUCGAUUCUUGAACCAAAACUAUAUAUGGUUACUUUAUACACAUUACAUCAAGUGCUACUCCCACUUUUAAUUGUUUUUAUAACUUUCAAACUAACUUGUUUGCAAUGCAAGUAAACUAGUAAACUAAUCUAGCAUAAAUUAAUAUCUUCAUAGCACUAAUUAUAUUUUUGAAGCAUCUAGUGAGCCAUUUCAAAGUUUAACAGGUGUAAAAAAAAUAUAACCAACUCUUAUAACACCCUUUCAGUACAUAUUUAGAUUGUUUUUCGUGACACCAAGAUAAAACUAAUUAUAGAAAUGCAAAAUUGAUUUGAACAAGUUUGUAUGUUUUCAAGUGAAUUUUUUUUUUUUACUCUAACACACAUAUUCUAACUUUAAAUUGUAGAGCCAUAUAUCAGGUUCACAUACAAGAGUUCAGGUUUACAAAAAAGCAUAAGUAGUGAGCACAUACAAACUCGUUCAAAAAAGGGUGUAAUCAAAAGCAAUCUUAAAUAUUUGUGAUUAGAGAAUUAGGCAGGUUCGAUACUCAAACAUUAUGCAUAAAUACUACUAAGUCUAUUUAGAAUUCUUUAGAGGUAUGUGUACCCUUUGCUUGUCAUGGCAGGUUCCUCUUUGUUUCGUUGCUAAAGGAUAGCUUUAGGCUUCAAUUCUUUAUGUUGUGUAAACAUGUUUAGGUCUUAAUCUUGGUUUGCAAUUAAUUUCCAUUGCUUUGGAGAGAAAAAAACUUUAAAUUAGAGUUUAAAGUUUUUAGCUCAAAAUGUGUGUUUUUUUCUUUGUAAAAAAACUUCAAUCGACUUGCAGAUAAGUAGAAUCAAACAUAAAUUAAUUUAAAUUUAACUUGUAUUUAAUCCAAGCUAUAGUUAAUGUUCAAAAUAGUUACGUUAGCAAUAGACACUAUAUUUCUUUCCAAACUCAAUCUAUUACAUCACUUUAUAUAGAUCUCGUUCGCAAAAAAGAUGCAUCUAUAUAAAUUUUAUAUAAAAAAAGUAAAAGUUACCGUGUAAAGUGAAUGUUUCUAACACUCUUAGGUCUAAAAUAAAUUGCCACAUCCUAAACAAUAAUAAGACUCUAUGCCAACUACAUUUAGACAUGUCUAAUGAUCCAUGAAUCUUAGGUUAGAAGAGAGGAGUAGAUUUUCCUCAUGUUGGAAGAAGAAAGAAAACCGCUAUCAUUCUCUCUUAUUCAAUAUGUUUGAUUUGAUGAGAGAUUGAGAUUGAACAUUAAAAACAAUUAACAAAAGAAGUUCCAUUCCCUCAAAAUAGACCUAAUAGUAGUAGUAAUAACCUUCCGUGAUUGGACAAAAAUCUUAUAGACUAUUAGCAUUAUCUUUAGAAUUAAAAAAAAUUCACAUUCACAUGUAUUAUCUCCCAAACUUUCUUUAUGACUAAAAAAAAAAAAUUAAUCACACUAGUGUUGUGUUUGGAAUAGCGGUGAACAGUCAUUAAACGCACGUCUAAACUAAAGCUAGAAUUUUCAGUUUUGUAAAAAUCAUGUUAAAGUAGAUUGGGAUAUGAGAAUUGUGAUUUAAACGCCAAACCAAACGGAAGCUAGGUAUUAAACACUUUAUAGUUUAUUUAUAAUUUUUCUUUUUCCUCUACAUACCAACCAAAUUUGUACAUCCCCUCAUUCACAAAGGUUAACCCAAAAAUAGAGGAGAAAAGUUCCAAGAAAAUUAAAAUAAAGGCAUAAUAAUAAAGAUUCUUUCUACAUCUAAACUCCUCUUCUCUUCCAAAAGUCUCAUAUAUAAGCCGAUUGAGUCACAAACAGCUCAAGCCAUUUAAGCUGAAAGUUCAAGCCCAAGCUCCACCUUGGAGGAAGCACUACAAUCCUUCAACACAAUUUUCCUCUUCUUAAUGGGAACCAUGAACUCCUCACGCGACACCGGUUCGAUACCAAGCCUAAGCUCCAAGCCAACCCCAUCACUCAGACCUUCCUCAGCUCGGCCCUCAGCUCGACCCUUUACCUUAGCUUGUGACUCAGGUUCAAACUCCGACUCAUCAUGAAAAAGUAUUGAAGUCUCCACAGAAACCCCACUUUCACUAUCUUUACCCGGCUGGCUCAGCGAAGAUUCUUGGCUUUUGGACCGGUCCACUUCUUUGGCCGAGCUGGACCCUGAACCGGACCCAACUUCUUUGCUUGGCUUCGGCUUCAUGGCUCGUCUGAACCGGGACCGAGUCCUAACCUGCUUAGUCUCCUCCAAGUUCUCAUCUUUUGACACGUGGCGUAUGUCAUAGGCCUUGAAUGGUGGGCCCCUCUCAUUUUCAUCAGCCUCCGAAUCUAUCGGAGUGAUCGGCUCGCCCUUCAAAACGGCUUCCACAGCGGCUUGACAGAGGUGCCAGCUACCAGACCAUAAAAGACCCACUGACCCAUAAAUAGGGUUCACGAUCCUCCCACAAGCCUCAUAGAGCAAUGAACGAAAAAUUGCUGGAAAAAAAAAAAACCAAAAUCACAAUCAAUAUGAAUAUAGAUAUAAUUUUUUCAAAAGAACCCCAAAUUCUUUAGAAAUUUGACAUGGAAUUAAGGUUUGAAAUUGCUGGUCAAUAUUACAAUAACAAGUACAAAACUUUGUCAAAAAAUAACGAGUACAAAACAUGGAAAAUGAGUAAAUAAUUGGUUUUUUUUUUUUAUCAUAAUGAUUAAUGUCCCAUAAAUCGUAGUAAUUUUUUUCAGGUUUAUCAGCAUUUAGUUACCUUUCUGCCAAACUCCGGAUUACCGGGAGAAUCAAAAGGGUUACCAAAAAAAAAACCUUAAUUUUUCAUGGUCCAUAUUUCUUCUAAAAGUUUUCAACAUUGUAUGAAAAAAAUCAUAACUUUCAACAAUAACAACUAACAAAUACACCUAUGUACCAAAAAUAAAAAAACAAUUAACAAACACCCACCACAUGGAUCUUACCAAACCCUCAAUUACCAAGAGAUUCAUAUAAAAAUCAUUUACAAAACUAAUUAAACCAGAGAAUUUGGGUUUGAUCUAAAUUUUAUACUUCUCUCAAGUGAUAAAAUGAUAAAUUUAAAAGAAAAUUAGAAAGAAAAAAAAAAUUCCAAUGUUUUAGAUUUGAGUAGUGACAAAGUCUCAAUGUGUAUCACGGUAGAUUUGCUCAAAUUACAUUUGUUUAUUGAAAUUCUGACAAAUUCACCGUGAUACCAAAACAUAUCAGAGGCACAUAAAAAAAAAAGUUUGAUGUCCCCACAUAGAUCAUAGGGACAUAAUCUAUAAAAGGUAAAAAACAUAAAAGUACAAGUUGUAAAAAUUUACCAGGACGAAGAUUUUCAGAACCAGAAUUGAUGAGGUUGAUGAGACCAGCACGACCAUAAAACUUAGCAAGAAAAAGAGUAGCAUUAGCUUGUGAUUGAGGACACUUGAUCCAUUCCAAACAUGGUCUUAUGCUACAAUCUUCACUACACCCUUUUCUUAAAACUCUACACCCAUUACAACUCAUUCUCAUUUUGGUUCAAUUUGAUUAAAACUUUAUGUAAAAUAGGAGAGAAAGAAUAUAAGAGUUUUUUAUUUUGGUUUGUGAUUGUGAAAGUGAGGAGGCAAUUAUAUAUAGUUGUUGGAUUUUGCGGUGUUGUUGGGUUUUUUCACAUGUUUAAGGAGACGCAGCUGUUUCUUAAUAGUUGUUUUAUUACUAGGGAAUAUUGUAAAACAAUGGUUUUAAUCUUUUGUUUAUUUAAAGUUAACAAGAAGUUUCUUCAAAAAAGUAGUAAGUAUUUAGUCAAAAAAAAGUAGACGUAAUAAUUUUUUAUGACUUUGAUUAAUAAAUUAAAAAGGUAGUUCACUUGAGUUGGUAGAGUGGUAUUGAUUUGAGAUUUGAAAAUGUGCUUCUUUUAUAAGUUAUUUAAGAAUAUGGGUUUCAUGUAGUCGAUAAUUUAAUGCAUUUACCGAAUAAGCAUACAUGUUGAUCAAUGUAUAUGUAAUUGUUAAUUUAUGAUCAAAUAAUAUUGAUUCACAUUGCAUAUUUUAUUUGAAAUAAGGCGACCUAGAUUAAAAUCUAACAACCAUCAAUGUGUAUAUUUUUCAAACGCUUCAAAUUAUUGAUUGCAUUGCAGUCAAUCAAAUUUUGUUACUUGAAUAUCACGGAAUUCUAUAUCGACAUUUAGACGAAUGAGUAUGAAAGCUGUUCUUGAGAAAAAAAAUAAUACAAAAAUUAAAUAUACUAAUUUAAUUUUUUUUUAUUCCUUAACAAGUAUGGUUAAACUAUUUUUUAUUAAGAGGGUGUCUUUAACCACUUGUUAACCAAAUGAUUUAGCCAAAACUAUUUUGUAAAUUUACUUUUCAUUUACUUUCUAACCAUUUUUUUAAGAUAGCUUUAGGCUUUACCAAAACUUUUUUUCUUAUUUGAUUAAAGUUUUUGCUUUUGGACCUUCAAGAAGGUAGGAAGUUCGAACAAUUUCCUAGAUUCAAGUGAAGAAGCUUUAUAAGUUUUUUUUCCAUUUGUGUGGGGACAACCAAACCCACUCUCGUUUAUGCGCGUGCUUUAUACUCGCUAUUUGUGGCAACUCUCGUCUAUAGCGUGGAACAAAGCCAUCAUGCCAACUUCACAUUUUUCUCAUAACAAAAUAUUAUGAAAAAUUUAUUUUAAUUUGGUAAACAAAGUUUAAUCAAAAUCAAAAUCUUAAGACUAAAAAUAUGCCAAUAAAAUCGUGUCUUGUGAGCCAAACUCAAUUAGUAGUAUAGAUAUUGUAUUAUAUAUGUAUAAGUUGCGGUUCGAAUUUUGAAUGUUUUACUUAUUCACUUUUAAGAGAUCUAAUUGAAAUCAACUAAGAUCAUUUAAAUAAUAUGAUAAAAAGUCUCUUUUAACUUUAAUUAGAGGUUAUGGAUUCAAUCCAAUUUUAUAAAUACAACAAUGUUAAAUUUUAUUGACGAUAACAUUGUGAAAUUUUCAAGAAGUAAAUUUAAUCAUGUUAGAAUUUGUGGAAUUUUCAAGAAGUAAAAUUAAUUUUUACUACAACAACUGCUACUAAUUUUUCCUCUCAAAAGAAAAAACUAAAAUUAAUUUUUGAAAAAAAUAGAAACGUUGUGAAGAAGAAUAGUGCAUCACUUUCUCCCAAGAAAGAAUAUUUCUAGGUGGAGUGACGUAACAAUAUUAUUACUACAAGACACACGAAUCUUUCAUCAUCGUACCGUAUCUUUUCCAUUACCCUAAAUUACCCUCAAGCAGAUCCAUAAAUUACGUAACUCACACAACAAAAACAAAAUAUCUAGAAGGUUAAAAUCGGUAAAAUGAACCAUGUAAGAAACAUGCAAAAGGGUACAAAAUUCAAGGAAAAAGAAACAGGCGCGUGGGAACCACGCAUAUAUGUCAGAGUGCGGUCGAAUCGCCACAUAUUGAGGAGUAAAGGUGGGUCCCAGUAGGAGUUGUUGUUUUUUGAAAGAGAAAAUGACAAGAACAUAAAAAAAGAAGCUCCUGGUUUUUGGGAGUGAAAAAUGGUUUUGGAGAAAACUAAAGGCUGGUUUGUGGGUUUAGGGUUGGGACUGUGGGCGCAGGUGAAAAUUGUACUAUUAUUAGUAAGCCAAUGGUUUUGGUUUUGUUUAAACUUAUCCUAAUUAAGCCAUUAAUAAAGUUAGAGUAAAUUUAUUUAUUUUGACCAAGUUAGAGUAAAUUAUUUAUACUAAAAAAACAAGUUAGACCAUUUAUAAUGGAAGAGUAUUAGACAUUUAAGAUUCGAUAUAUAUUAAGUAUCUUUAUUGAGGAGAUUUUUUUUUUUGGAUUUUUAUAAGAUUUGUGAUCUCAUUUAAGAUAUUCAAUUUUAGGCGGGACACACACUCUUUUAAUAUUAAAAAAUUAAAAUGUGAUGAUAUAAAAUUAUUGAUAGUUGUUUAGUAGGUUUCAUUUAAAAAAUUGUAUGAGAUACUAGAUUAAAGUGAUUAAGUUUUUAUUAGGUACCACUAUUAUAAAAUUAUAAACAAGUAAUGUGUAUCUGCGAUACUGUUUUAAGUACCUAAAAAUGAAUAUAUUCACUAUGGAUGCUUUUAGAAUGAGUUUCACUUUUGAUUAAGUACCCAAAAAUGAAUAUAUGUAUGUAAAUUGAUAUGCAAGGUUUUUUCUAUUUUGGAAUGGAAAAUCAUCCCCUCAUUCUAAAUUUUAUUUAACUAAACAAAAAUAAAUUUGAAACUCAAUAGUUAGUGGUAAAAAUACAAAUCUUGGAUCAAGUUAUUUAGAUUCGAGUUGAGCUAAUUUCUUUGUAUAGAUAAAUAUAAUUUUUUUGACUCUAAAAAAAUAUAUAAUUAUUUAUGGUGUUUUUAAAGGUCUGAAAUCUUAUUGGUAUCAUCAUCCUCUCGUUUUAAAUUUAUUCUUAUAAAAAUGCGUUCAAGUAAAUUAUAUUUUUCUCUAUUAAAAGAUAUUUGAAUUGUGCAUCAAGAAAUAGGAAUUCUUAAUGACCGAUGUUGCUUUGCAAUUUUCGCAUAUUAGGAAACCUGUUUGAUCCAAAGAGGCUUCCACGUAUCUUAAGUUUUAAUUAUGCAAGUGCAUAACUUUUAUUUCGAUAUGAUCUCAACAAUCACCUCAAUAAAUAUAGUAACAAUCAUGAAUGUAUGGAAAAUCAGAUCAACAUAAAUAGGACUUCCACUCCAAUACAUGAUUACUCGACUCAUUUUGCCUAACACAUACUUAUACUAUGCCUAACUUUGCAUAAAAGUGUCUUUAUAGAUACCCUUCAAUUGGGGGAAGAGCAUACGAGAAAAAAAUGUGGAGAUCGAAAAACCAAACUUUGAAUCCGCAUAACCAACUCAGGUAAUCACCCUCUUGUGUUCUAUAAGAAUUUUCACGCCCAUUAUGGGACCUGAUAAAACAUAUCUAGGCCUAAAGAUCCCAUCAUUACUUUUGUUUUUUAGUCUUUUAAUUCGUGCAUAUAUCUCGUCAAUAGUGUUUUCUGACUUUGUGGUGGCAAAUCAUGAAGUUGUGAUUUUGGUGACUCCAAUCGUCCUGAAAUGUCUCCAAUCGUCCUGAAAUCGUCCUGAAAUAUCUCGCUCAAGAUGGCAGUCACCAGAAGUCUGGCUCCAUUGGAGACAUUUCAGGACGAUUGGAGUCACCAAAAUCACAACUUCAUGAUUUGCCACCACAAAGUCAGAAAACACUAUUGACGAGAUAUAUGCACGAAUUAAAAGACUAAAAAACAAAAGUAAUGAUGAUUGAUAUAGAGAAUUGAAGACACUAAGAAGAUCCACCUUCCGCCAAAAUUCAUAAGUUAAGUAUCAUCACGGGAAGCACUCAGGAGGAAGAGAUCAAAGUACGAUGUGACACAUAUACCUUUUUUUAAAAGAGAUUAAUGAUGAUCCAUAGAUGCCUAUUCAUGAUACAACAAGAUUUUGGUGAAUCUUUUUUUUUUGUUUUUUUUUUGUUGGGGGGGGUAAAACUCUUAUCUUCAUAGACACCUAUUCAUAAUACAACAAGAUUUUGAUGAAUCAAGUAGAUGAGCUAAAGAUUUCCUUCAUGGCGGAUGGUUAAACUUGAUACAAUCAAGUUAUAUCUUUGAGAUUAAACCUAAAGACUUCAAUUGGACAUGUUGAAAAUAUGCAUGAUUUAGAGAUCUUAUUGAAGGAAAUUUAUAUGUCACUCCUUCAUAUCAAUUCAUGUCAUUAAGUGCUCUGUUGUGGCGGUCGUCAACAUUUAGUUAUUUUACACGCUAGUGACUACUUUUGUUGUUAUUUCAUUAUUGAUUUAUGAGACACUACAAGAAAUCUGUCAAUUUUACAGGGGUAGAAAACCCUAGCAAAAGCGCACAAAGCUCUGGGAAACGAAUGUUUAACAUGUCAUCGCAAAUUAUUUGUCAGGGGUUAUACAACUGUUACAUAAGCUCAAAUAAAUCAAUCCAACUGACCUUAAGUCUAACAAUUAACAAAGAAAAACUAGAAAAAUUAUAGACAGAAAAACAUGUAGCAAUUUGAAAUGCUUACCCUUUCACAACCAUCUAAAGUCAACUUGGUCAAAUUUUGAAAGCAAGAAUGUGCUGAAAGUUGGUCAUCAUGUAUCCUCUGGACUUUGAUUCAGGAAAGUUGCAAUGCCUCCAAACUUGGAAAUUCAACCUGUCAAUAGUUAUGAAAGUUUCAUUAUCUGCAUAGUUAUGUUUAUGAGCUUCAAGACCAUAUUUAACUUAUAACUGUAACAACUAUUCAUUUACACCACUAAACCAAUACAUAUCUCGCCACCCUAAUUAAUAUAAGAUGUUAACUUGUUUAAAGUUUGAACUGAAUCCCCUAAAGAAAAAUACAGCAAAAUGAGAAGAAAAAAAAAAAAGAGUAUAUCAAUACAGAAGGCAUACUCUACCUUUCACUAGUUCUGAAAACAGCUCCAACAUUCUCCAACAAAAUUUUCAACAGCUCCAACACCAUCUUCCCUCUCAUCGACUGCAUAUCAACAUUCUCCGGCAUAGAGCUAUCAACAUCAGAUUUCUCCACUUGAUCCAUCAAUUCGACCACCACAAUCGGUUGAAUCAGAAUAGUCCACGAAUCUGCCUCCAUUUUCUUAAAAUGUAACAUCAAAAUUAAAUAAAUAUCAAAUCCUUGAAAUGUAACAUGAAAAUGAAAUUUGAAAAAUCAAAUCCAUAGCAGGUGAAAAUCACAAAUCAUAAACAUAAAAUCAAAAUCAAGAUAUUAUGAAUACCUAGAAAUAUUAAAAAUUGGAAUCCAUAAAUACAUGUUACCAGAAAAGCGCUUUAGUCACCGAUUCUUCAGUAAGUUCAUCUUCCACUCGCCUUUCCGAUUUAUAGUUGAAGAAGAAUCACGUUCGUAUGCGGUGGCUACAAGUAGAACGUUGUUGCUUCAGAUUAAAAAAAAUCAAAGAUGUCGCUCAGUCUAUAAUGAAAAAGAAACACAAAAAUUAAAGAAAGGAAGAAGAGAAAGGGUCGGGUGUACAUACCGUGAUGGAGGAGAAAAAUGGGUGAAGAUGAUAUUGUUAAAGUCACGAAAUCAUUCGGAUAAGUUGAAAGCUUAGGUAAUAAGGAGUUCAAAAUUGGUCUUUGUUUUUCCGAUCGAUGUUCAUGGAGGCCGAAAAAAGCGUCGAACGGAGGAGAGUGGUGAAGGUUUUGAGGAACACAAAAGGAGGGCACAAGUUCUCUUUCGUUUUCCUCUGGAGAGAUAUCAGACAAAAAAAAAAAGAUAUAUGAGUGAGGUUAAUAACAAAGACCAAAAAGUAAAUGAGCCCUUUCAUUUGGCUAGGGUUUUGACAAAUUGCUCUUGGCAAAUGCAAACCAGGGGGAAUGACGGGGUCUUGCUCCUGGAAAAUUUAUCAGGGGUUUCUGCCCAUGAGAAUGAUCCCUAUGAAAAUAACACUUUUCUUGUAGUGAGGUGGACCAGAUUGUAAUGGAAAAAUUUAAAGAUAAAUAACAUUCAAAUGUAUGCUUUAUUUCUUUUAUAUAAUUAUUAAGAUGUAUUGCCCAAGGAAAAUAUUGUUGAGAUAUUUGAUUAAAUAUUUGUAUUUGGAAUCAACAUAAUGAAAAGCUUUGAAACAAUAAUUCGGUACCACGACAACUUUAAGUGAAGCAUCAACUUUCUGUAGGUGUAUGGGUUGUGCACCCUCCCAUAACAUGUAGGCGCGAUGACUCGACCUACUAUUUUUACUCGGAAAAAAUCAACUUAUGAACAAGUGAAAUGUAAAUUGGCGUUGCUUUACCAUCUAGUGACAAUCAUGUAAUUAUUGAAGUUUGUAUUAGAGAUGAGAACAAUGCUUUUAUUCUUGCAAGAAUUGAAUGUCUUGCACAAAAGUGUGAGGUGCAUAUUGGUGAAACUCUCGAAUUUCUUUCGGCGCUUAAUUGAAUUCAUGAGCUUAAUUUGGAUGUUAUCGAUUUUGAGCCGGACACAAAAUGGUUGUGGAUAGUUUUUCACUAGAAGAAAGGAAUUGAUAGUUUGGUGCCCAACUACGGAGUAUUUAUUUAUUAAAAAAUGCUAGCAACACUCUCUUUUAAGCACUCAUUCUUUUAUUGAGUAAAAUCAAUGUAGGACCUACACUUUGGAAAUGAAACUCACAUAAAGUGGUGAGACAUAAACUGAUCCCAUCAAAUAAAUGAGUGAGUGCUCAAAAGAGAGUGUUGCUAGCAUUUCUCUUAUUUACUUCUUCCGUUUUAAAAUAAGUGUUGCUUUAGCAAAAAAAAAUUGUUUCAAAAUGAAAGCAACUUUAAGUUUGUCUUUUUCUUAUAAAGUAAGGUUAUUUUAGUAAAAUUACUAUGAUGUUUGACUAUUUUAUUUCAUUUCUUAAUCUGUGUGCAAUUGACUAAAGCACCACUCAUUUUAAAUAUUUAUUUUUGUUUGGGCGAAGAAAGUGUUGACUGAUCGGGUCUUAUUGAAUGCAUCGAAAUACUAAUACUAGCUAGUAUAGUUAAUGUUGUAAUAUACACGUGUUUCCAAUUCAUUGUUGCUUUUCUUCUUCUUAAAUCAAAUCCUAAGAUAUAGUCGCCAAAAAUAGAAUAAUCCCAAGAUAGGAUAAUCAUACGCAUCUCACCUACGUAUAAAAUUACAUUUUUUUUAGGAACCUAUAAAAUUACCUUUCUAGUCCAAGAAUAUAAUGUUCUCCUCGAGACCCUAUAAUAGUGAGUGUGUGAGGUUUAAUUACUCGUCUAUGCGACGUUGAUCCCACAUUCUGAAUUGCAAAAUGUUAGAGCUAAAUAUUGUUAUUUAAAUAACUUUUUUCCACAAGAAUUGGUCAUUGACACACAAGCAUCAGGACUGGCCCAAAGGGGGAGAUUGCUAAGAUAAAGAACAUUACUCCCUUUACUCCCUUAGGUUAGUAUUAUAAGCAAGACAAGGUCUUUAAAUUUUCAUCACCAUUAUAAGUAAAAUCAAUUAUUCCUGAACUAUUUAUUAGGUUCCUCAAAUUCAGAAUCCUAAGUCUGGAUUAAGGCAAAGUUACGGGGCAAAAAAAAUUACUUUUGCUUGCAAGUCAAAAAAAGAGUUGCUGCCAAAGUUUUGCCCCGAAAUUUCUUAUCAAAAAUAAUAUUUGCUGCAAAAACAUGAGUUUCAUGUAGGACGGUCCAUGAAAUUGACUCUAGAAAUUUUGAUAUUCUUUUUUUGAAAGAAGAAAUUUUGAUAUUCUUUUCUUUCUAGAUGUAUAGAUUCUAAUUAAGCAUCCUUUGGUAACAUUGAACAUCUCCUCUAUUUUGGUUAGAGUAUGCAGUUACCUAGUUUUGACCAGUAGCCUAUGCUUGCUCAUCCAACUAGGGGUCCACAUUGGAAUCUAAUAAUAAUAAUCUAAACAUGCAAGGAUCAAGACGGUUAAGAGUUGUUGAAAAUAAAUAUUCAACUAAGAGAACUGUUAUACACAUCAAAUUCACGAACCGAUGGUGAAUGAAAAAUAAAUCAGGUCAAUUAUAUCGUAAACAAGUGUGACGAGUCUUACAUCAUACAUAAAUCAAUUUUUAUCGUUUGAUUAAUAAACCUUACCAUUAAAUCAAAUGAGAUAUGAUAUGACAUAUUAAUCGAUAAUGAAAGAGGUACUUGUGCAGUGCAUAUUACAGAUCAUUUUGUUUGUACAUGUUAUACAAAGCCAAAUAAUCCAAUGAGAAAUCAAUGUUUUGCGGGAAUCAUGGAAGAUUGAGAGAAAUAAAUGAUAGUCAAUAAAUAGAGGAUUUGCGGAGCACACUUGUGAUGUUUUUACUUGUUGGUCCCUCGAGAGAUAUCAGCUAUAUAUUGACAAGAAUAUAAUACAAAAAAACUAAUGCACCAUUGAGGUUUAAACUAGUAGUCAAAUUCAGAUUCUUUUGAACAAUUUGUUAUUAACUAAAGUUUACUACUACCAUUACUCAUGGAAAUAAGAAAGUUUAGAGAGUUGCUUAUGCCACAAGUUAUUGACUGCAAUGGCGGAGCACUGUGUGGGUUUAGGUGGGCCACGACCCACCCCUAAAAAAAAAGUAAAAAUAUAAAUAGGAAAGUUACUAAAAUACCACUUGUAUUUAAGAAAAAAUAUAAACACAUCCACCCUCACAUAGGUUUCCUUCCCUCUUCAGUUUCUCCGUAUUCUAAAAAAUAUAUUAUAAUUUAUUCUGUUGGUUCAUCCGAGAUAUUUUUUCUAACUCCAUCACUAAUUGACUGGAUAUAUAACUAACUAACUAACUAACUACCUUUAUGUUAUAUGAAGUUUAAGUAGUUAUACUUCUAGAUCAAUAACUAACUCUAGUAACAAUUGUAUAUGGAUAUAGUAUAUAUGUGUCAGUCCUAUCUCAUUUCUAAAACUAGAUUGGUGAAUAAUGAAGUGUCUAUUCAUGAGCUUCUUCUUCCGUAUGAAUUCUUUUUGUUGUAAGCUUUCUUCUUCAAUCAUGUUUGAGAUUAACCUUUCACAACUACUUGAGUUAAAUCACUUUAUUAAUAUCAUUUUUUAUAUGUGUGCCGUUUUGUGUGCGCUUUAGGUACCUUUUUGAUCUUGCGGUUGAUAAAUCUUGUACGGUUGCAUACAUGUUUUCUGCUGGGUGGGAGGUUGGGGGAGCGGGUUGGAGUUGGAGAAGGGGGGCUGUGGGUGUGAGAGGAGGAAAUGCUAGGGAAGUGUAUUAUUUUACUUCGUAAUGUUUCUUUGCAGUUUAAUGUGAAAGACAUUUGGAGAUGACACCUGGAUCAUUAUGCAGGUUAUACAGUUCGUAGCGCUUAUCAUCUACUGACUACUCAGGACAUUCCUCAAGUGGAAGGUGCAGAUGCUCUAGUUUGGCAUAAACAUGUUCCACUUAAGGUCUCAAUUUUUGCUUAGAGGUUGGUAAAAGAUAGGUUGCCUACAAGGUCAAACCUGAUGCAUCGCGGUAUCCUCUUAGAUUCGGCUGCAGGUUGUUUGUUAGGGUGCGGCCCAAUCGAGACUUCUCAGCAUUUAUUUAUUUCUUGUGAUUUUUGUGGCACUUUGUGGUUUAAGAUGCGGUAUUGGCUUGGUGUCUCAGACCCAGACCCCAUUACUGUAUCAGAUCAUUUCCUUCAGUUCUCUCAUUCAGCAGGUUGAGUUCGAGCAAGGUGCUCCUUUUUGCUGCUUGUUUGGUUGCUUAGUGUGUGGAUCAUUUGGAUUGACCGUAAUCAAAUGUUGUUUAACAAUACAGGUAGCUCCAUUGAUCAAUUGUUGGAUAAAGUAAAACGGUACUCCCUUUGGUGGCUAAAAGCUAAUAAUGUUGUUUUUGUUUUUGGUUUCCAUUUGUGGUGGUCAAGUCAUUUGGCUUGUUUGGGACUUCGCUAAUUUUUUAUUGACUCUGUAUAUUUGUAAAUACUUGGGGCCUAUUUAGUACAUCUUAUACUUAGAGGUGUCCGUAGUUUGUUAAUAUAAGUUUUAUUUUUGAUUGUUAAAAAAAAAAUAUCAUUUGUUAUAUUUAAUUAGCUAUAUGCAUUAAAUUAUUGAUUGAACUAAAGGGUGCAUGAAUUUAGUCACUAUACGGCGCAUUGACAUGUUUAAAUAAUAGACUGAGAAUCUAAGAGCAAACUUAUAUAAUUUUUCUAGUAGUGUGUUUGUUGCUUCAAUGUAAUUUAGUAUUGCAGAAACCAACUGCUAACUUUUUGUUUAAUAAGAGAAAAGACAAAAUGUACAAUUGAAUCAAUUAAUUUAAUUGCAUUGCAUAUGUACCAAUUGGUUUAAUUAAUUUCAUUGCAUGCAGACUGCAUAUACACACCAGAACUCCGGGAAUUUUAAGGAAGAAAAAUGUAACUACUCAAACUUUCGUAUUAUAUAUAUAGCUUUAAGUUUAAUUUAAUCAGAUGAUGAAUACAAUAUGCUGGUUUGUUUUUUCUCUUUUAACAAAAGAUGUUGACAACUUUGAUGUGAAAAUGAAAUGAUAUGAUCAUAUGAAAGAGAAAAAAUACAUUCAUUUUUUAAAUAAAAAAUAUGGUACUUGAUGUAUCUAAAUAUAUACAUUUUUAACUCAAACUACUAAAUUCUUCAAAAAAAAAAAAAAAAACUCAUACUACUAAAUAAAUAAAUCUUAUAAUUGUGAUAUCGAGAUAAUAAUAACAAUAUUGUUUACAAUAUUAAUUACUGUAAUUGUCAAUUGUGUAUAAAUAUAGGUUGCAUCAUUAUUUUUCUUGGUGAAAGAAAAUUUAUCCGAGACUAAAAAAACAACAAUGAUGAGAUAUAGGUCUUUAAUAAAUUUAUUAUUAAGAAUCAUGGAAUUAGGGAACUCUCCUUGGGAAAUUUAUUUGAGCUUAAAAAAAUAACAAUGAAGUGAUUAGACAUUAUAUCACUAAAAAGCUUAAGGUAUAGCGUUUAUGUUGUUGGAAUUCAAGUUUGAGUUGGUUAGUCUUACAUUGAUUAGAAAUGAAUUAAAAAUUUGAUAUAUAAUAAGUAUAAAUAUAACUCAUAUAAUAUUAAACAUUAUCUUAAUAUUUUAAGUGAAUAUGUGUCGUAAACGUUUAUUAUUGUGAUCGUUGGUUGAUAACGAUGAUAUAUAUAGACAGACACACACAAACCUCUUUAAUUCGUUCUCAACCUCAAAAAUUAUUUUUCUAAUAAAGGAAAAUUAAACUCCAUCAUUUGAUGAACUCCCAAUGAUACAUACAUCAUCUUCUGAAAAUGAUUUAAAAAAGAUUCAUGUAUCCAUCUUAAUUAUCAAAUCGAAUCUAAUUCUUCCUUUUGUUGUUGUUGUUGUUGUAAUAGAUUAAUUGGGUACAUAUAUAUGUUUGGACAGAUUACAUGGAUGAGAAUAAAAUAAUCAGAUUAACCACUAGUUAAUAGAGUAAUGAUGGAUAAGAUAAGGAUGAAAAGAAAAUGGGUAAAGUAAGACAAUUGUUGUGACCCUCAAUUAGGACAUAGUAUAUCUCCACUACUUACUAGGAACUUGUUCGAGCCUCCAUGCUUUUAGGAAAAUAGUUUGUGUUUCAAUUUCUCCCUAAUCAAAAACUGUGGGCGCUAGCUGUCGGUAUAUACUUCAACCAAUAUGAUUCUAGAAUAGUUGAAUAUGGUUAGUUGAUAUAAAUUUUUAACUAAAUAUAUUAAAAUGAUGGUUACCUGCGAUUGAUGGGUGCCCAAACUUCUUUGUUAUGCGAAGUCAGAUAGAAUUAGAUUUGGCAAGUCUAAGUUUCUUCCCGUGUCCAAUUUUUUUUACAAUAAUUGUCACACAAAAACAGUUAUAAGGUCUCGAAAUCUUUUAGAGUAAUGAUAUUUGAACAAUUUUUUUGCUACAACUUUUGGGACAACCUUGUUGUGCUCUCUUUUCAUUGGUCAAAAACGAUGGAGAGAGAAAAAGGAAGAGAGAUAAUAAAAAGAUAAUGUGAGUAUGAGAGAGGAAGUAGUACAAAAAUUAUACAAAAAUGGUUGUACAAAUAUCAUUUCUCAAUCUUUUAAUAUCUAACUUAUGUCCUAUUUGUAAGAUAGAGAGCGAUGAUAUUUGGUCCUUCUGCCUCCAUCAGUCGCUCACCCCUUACACACUUUGUUGAAAGACUUCAGUUCUAGUUUUGGUCCAAUUGAUCCCAUUAUUUUUGAAAAUAUCAAGCAUUCUAUUCAUGAAAUUUGUGGUCAAGUGUUCUCCUUUUUAAAUUAUGUUUUAAGAGUCUUUGCUACUCUUGAUCUUCCAACGUAUUCAAACGUACAUACAUAUCAAACAAAGUAAGAUUAAUUGAGAAAUGGUAUAAUUAAUAGAUUGUACUCUUAAACUAUAAAAACGACAGUUAAAUAAAAACUCUAAAUCUAUAUUCAAACAACAUUUAAAAAGGAACAACGGGAGUAUAUGAGUAAAAUAAAGUAGAACAACUAGUAUACUUGUCAAAUUGUUAACCAUCUCUUCUUUUUCUAUUUACUCUUCAUUUAUCGUCUUUUGCUUCAAAUUAGAUACUCUCCUUCAUUUUUCUCUCUAUCUUAUUAUGGAUUUCUAUUUCUUUAAGGAGGUUAGCUCAUGAAAGCUUUAGUCAAAUGAUACUUUUAGAAAAAUAGGGUUGUAGUUUUUCAAUAAUCUAUGUCCCACUUGUUUUUACUUAUAAAGAUCAUUGAGAAACAAAUAUAGCAUUGAAUACUAGUAUUACUAGACUCUUUUUUAAAAACAUUUUCUUAAGUAGUACUAGAUCAUAUCCUUUUCUUCCUCUUCAAAACUCGAUAUACAACUCAAAGAUCGACUAAUUCAGGUGAAUAAAUAUCAUCGUUGAUUAAAGGAGAUCCAUUUAAAGUCAGAGUAAAGCUCUAUGUGAGCUAACCAACAUAAAUUGAUACCAUGAAGAUUCAAACUUGAAAUCCCUUAAAAGAUCACACUUUAAGGUGUCAAGUCUACAUGAUAUAUAGGCUCAAAUAAUUACAAUUAGGACUGGAAAUGAGUCGAGUCGAACCGAACCUGUCUGAGCUCGGCUCGACUCGAUAAGAAUUUGCUCGGCUCGAAACUCGACUCGAGUUCGACUCGUUUAAAGUUCACGAACAGUUCGGUUCGGCUCGUUAGGUUCAAUUCGUUGCUCGAGUAAUAUAAUUCAAAAGUUUUUUUUUGUUUUUGUCAAAAAUUUAUAUUUUAAUCUCUUAAUUUAUUUAAAAAAGUAUACAAAAAUGAACUAAAACAAAAAACUAUAGACCAUGUUUGUCUCAAGACUACUAAGUAAAAAAGUAGUAGUAACUACUAUAGUGCAAUCCAUAUAGAUUCUCAAAUGCAAUUCUCUUUUAUAACUACUCUUCUGCUGCUAUGUUGUUACUAAACUCCUCGAUGUGGGACAAAGUUUAGCACAAGUGUGUUAUUUGCUUUUUAUUGUUUCUUUCGUUCUUUUUUUUGGGUGAUAUUCUUUCUCUCUUUUAUUAAAUUGUUAAUUAAAUUAGAAAUAAUUCUUCCUCCUCUCUUUGAUAAAAAAAUAAUUCCUCUAAAAACAAAUACAAAAAUAUCAUAGAAAGUUUGUAAUAAAUUACAUGUGUUGUAUUUUAAUAUUAAUGUCUGUUCUUUAUAAAUAUAUAUAUAUAUAUAUAAUAUUAUCGAGCCAACUCAUGAACCAACCGAGUCGAACUAUAUAAAGUUCAAGUUCAGUUCAUUUGUUUAACAAACUUAAUUUUCAGCUCAAGUUCAGCUCAUUUAGUUCAUUAACCAAGUUCAACGAAUUAAUUAUCGAAUCGAGUCUCAAACUAUUGUCGAGUUGCUUCGAUUUAUUGUCUGCCCUAAUUACAAUUUAAAUAAUUACAUUAAGAGUAACUUGAAAACUAUAUGAACUUGGAAUUGUAAGCUAUAAAGGAAAGAGAAAAACAAACUAACAAAAGAAAAUAAAAUAUGUUUUAGUUUAAUUUUGAUUCCUUUGCAAAGUGUCUCAAAGACAAUCCAUAUUAACGGUGAUAAUGGAUAAUAAUCUAAGGGGCCUAAAAACUAAAGACGAAACUAUAAACAAUUCAAAGAAAAAGACAAACUAACCGUAUAAUUUUACUUCUAAGUAUCUAAUUAUUUGUUAAAUCCUAAUUGCAUGCUCUAUCACCACAACACUAAGCUAACUCAUAUGGAUUUACUCAAUUUUAUUGUAAUUAAUAUAUUAUUAUGUUAGGUCAUUUGGAAAGUCAAGGAGACCGUCCACAUCGAGACUAGAACAACCACAUUAGCAAGAGAGACGCCACACUCUUAUCCAAAACCUUAAGGCAGUGAGUUUAUGGAUCCUCUUACAUAUAAGGUGUUCAACUUUUACUUUUUUAUCCGAUGUAGGACAUAUAACUCACACUUAUACACAAUAACAUAUUAUUAUAUUGUUGAUGUUGCUAUUGAUUUUUUUUAAUAUUAUUAUUCUUCACACGGAAAAAUAAUCUAAAUUCUAAACCUAAUAUGAACUAAGACUUGUAAGUUUAUGAUUCAUUGGUAGGAAAGUCUAUUGCAACAUAUAUUCAUGAAGUUCACUCUUCACGUGGAAAUACUAUUGGUGAUUAAGCUUCCUAUAUAAAAAAACUCUUUCUCUUUGGUGAUUAAGCUUAUGAAGAUUGUUUCAAAAACAAGGUUAUGGAGAUUGCAACAAAAGACUACCGCUGCAUAAACUGUUGAAAAUUGCUCUUUAUCCACCUAUUGUUUGCUUGUAGGUACCUUAAACUCACAAAAAUAUCUCCAUGGACAAUUAACUACCGUUUACUGGUCUAUGGUAGUUAACUUCGGUUACUAAACUCCAACAUUCCAGACCAGAAAUAACAAUUCCCCUUUGAUGAAAAACACAUAAACACAAACCAUUCUCCUUCCAAACUUCAACAAAUCAACCUUCAUCAAAUUUCUUUAAAUUCAAGCAACUAUGAGAAAAGUCAGUUAACUGCCAUUGGGGCUCAGCGAAUACCAGUUAACUACAAUGGAUCAGUGAGUGGUAGUUAACUAUCGUUGAAGAUUUUUCCAUCAAUUUAGGAUGCGUGAGAGCAAAUAGUGGAUCCUAAAAGAGCGAUUUUCUAAACUAUUUAGGCUUAAUAAGAGAAUAGUGUUGGGCCCAAAAUUUCAAUUUCGACUCAAUCUCCCACAUAAAAUUGCUCUUCUCACUUCCAUUUUUGCUCCCAAACACUCACACCCCUUAUAAUCUUCUUUAUCUCCUACCUUUCUCUUCACCCCUUACUGCUCUCUCCUUUUUCUUCCUUUGACUUUCUUCUGUAUCACAUCACAUAUAUAUUUGAAGAGAAAAAAAUACACUAUCAGUAAAAGCAAAAUUAGUGAGGGAAAUCAGUGAUAGAAAAAAAUGAAAUCCCUCACAAAUUUCAUAGUCACAGAAUUUAGUGAAGAAAUUAUUGAGGUAUUUCAUGUUUUUUCUUUCUAAAUUCCCUCACCACUUUCCCUGAGUUUGGUUUCCAAGGCCGGCGACACCAUGGGAUGUUUCAGUUCUACCUCCGAUGAAAAAUGUGAUUGUCUUCCUUUCUUCACGGUUUGCCGAUGUUACACCUCAAAAAUGCGACUUUCUUUAACCUUCCCUCAGAAACAAGAGUAGCUCAAUUCUUUCUUUUGGUAUUGGCACUCUAAUACAGUCAGCUGGUUUGUUUUUCUAUGUUUAUCUGUGAGCACACGAAUAGCUUGACAGUAGUUUGGGGUGUUACUGUGUUUCAAGGAGGACUAGUUAUUGGUCUUGCUCAAAUCAAUUGUAUUUUCAUUUGCAACUUCCUGUUACUUCUUGUACAACUAGUAUGCGUAAUCAAUUUUUACAUGAAUUUACCCUUAGCAAGCUUUGUUGCAUUUUGAUCCAAUGUUUUUGGCAAAUUCAACACUGUCAUACUUUAUGGAACUUUAAUAAGUUUAAUCUUCCAUGAAAUUAUGACUCCAAAACUUGCUCCUCCAGCACCUCUAAUAGCUCAAAACUUGAGUGGGAGGGAGUAUACAUUUUCUUCAAUACAAGAUUUGUUGCAUAUGAUUUCACAGUAGAAGCAAGACGUAAAUCCAUGGAAUGUGAUGAGUGGCAAACAAGAGAAUGAGGGGGACAUUAAGAUUUUCUCAUGAAAGAAAAAAGAAAGAAAAUCUAACCUUUAAACGGAAAUUACAUUUGUUCCCUUUAGAUUUAAUUUGUCCAAAAAACAAAAACAAGGGUCAUUGUGUCCAAGUGAAAAGGUGUUGCAUGCUAAAAUAGACCUUCAUAAAAUGAAGUGGGUCUAUUGCAGCAAACUCCAUAUAUAAAUACUUAUCAAAUGUUCACUUUGCAAACACUAUUGACAACUCUUUGGUAAUCAAGCUUGUGAUGCAUAAGACAACCAACUGUAUAAACAACUUGGGCUUAAUAAGGGAAUAAUAUCGGCCAAAAUAUUCAAUGCUGCAUCCAUAUCCAUAUAGUACACAUUGAAAUUUGGAGUUAGUUCAAAGUCUCAUAUUCGAUUCUCUAUACCGCCAAUUUUAAUGGUAUAGUUUAACUUCUUAAAAGAAAAUGUCCAAAAUACAAAUAUGGUGGAAAAUUAAAACAAAAAAAUAAAAUUGAGGGAUAAAAAUUGAUUUUUAAAAUUUUAGGAAGAAAUUUUUAUUUUAAAAAACUAAGGAGACAAAAGUGUACUAUUUAAGUCUAUUUGAGCUUCCUCUAAAAAAAAAGUCUAUUUGAGCAUUCCUAAAAAAAAGUCUAUUUGAAUAUAUUAUACCCUAAUUCAUCUUAUAAUUUUCCAAUCAGCUUAUUUAUAGGAAAACUUUCAAUAUGUUGAAAGCAUCAUUUUUAAGAAUCACCAUAUGAAAGAAAAUGAAAGAGCGAUCAUGAUAUCAAUCAAAAGAAUUUAAAUAAAAAAGAUCGCGCAUCAUUAUUUUUAAAAAUAUUUUUUUCUACAAAAAUGAAAUGAAAGAUGAAGAGCACACAACAUGCAUAUUUCUUCGACUUCAAAGCGAGCAACUAGGAACAAUUGUUUUCUUCACGGUGCACAAUGUCACAAAGAAAAAGAUAAAAUAUCAGCAUGGGGAAGGAAAGAUGCACAAUGGUUAUUGCGCAACAUUUUCUCUUGUGUUUUACAUAUUUAAAUACUUUGUAUCGAGUAAACCAUCAAAAUGAUCCUUAAUUUUGUAAGAUCCUCUUAAUUUAGUCUUUGGCAUAUGAACAUAAAAAUGUAUUUUAGUCUCUACACGUUAAAGACCGACAUCUAUCAGUUACUCGCAAACCUAAAUUAAUCAAGUUUUAUUAGAUCACUUUGUAAUUGAGCUUAGUACAUAAUACAUGUUGGAUUAAUGACCCAAAAAUGUUCUCCUAGACUUAAUGUACAAAUAUAUCACUUCUGGCCAAAAUGAACUCUGUCUUGUAAUUAUCCUUUUAUGCCUGCCAGAGUUAUAUCCAUCUUACAAUCUACAGAUUUGAUUCCAUCGCCAAAACAAAACCAGCCUCAUCAUUGCUUCAUCUUUCAUUCGGUGACUUUGUUCUCUUCUGCUGAUCCCCUUACAUAUCCUUAAAAAAAUAAUUCGGUAUCUGAUCCAAUGACCGAUUAAUCUAAGGAUCCAAUUCAACUGUUCCCUUACAUUGCCACAUUUUGUAGUAUUGGCACACAUUGAUCUCUAGUUAUUAUUCUUGUAAGUAAGCAACACAUGUCAAUGUUUGAAUCAAUUUUAGUGCAUUGUUGAUUCUCUACCACUAUUGGAGUUGAAACUAUCUUAAACUUUCUUCUCUAAACAUCAUGCUUUUAUAGUUUUAGGUUCAUAAUUUCAUUCAAGUUGUUGAUGUUAUUAAGCAAACCUAAAGAUUAGACUCUUAUACACAUGAAUGGAUUUUAUGUAAUGCUUAUAACAUGUUUUUAUUUAUUUAUUAAAGGAAUGUUUAUAACAUGUUCUCUCACACUAUGUGUGGACAAGGAUUAUCUUUUCUACCUUAUGCUAAAAUUUAACAUUUUUAUCAAAAGAGGGCAACAAAGGAUUAAACAAUAUGCCAUCUAAUCAGCUCUAACAUCAUAUCAUGAAGUAACCAUCCAAAAUACAUUAUUUGUAAAGAAAAGCAGUGAAUUGUUAUAUGGUCUAUCUGCGUGAUAAAAGAUUCAAACACUUUAAAUAAGUAGUUAAGGGUUCGGUCUUCAACUCUGAGAGAGAAGAACUCAUCUUAUGUAUUCAAUAGAUUCUCCGACAAAAAUUAAUGGCUACUAAUAUUAAAGGAUACUGAAGGUUUUGUUUGUAUAAUGUAGUUAUAAAAACAAAAAUCUAACACAAGCAUGUUUUUGUACUCGUUGAAAAUAAAAUUGAUGUCAAAUCUCAAUUAUAAAAGUAAUAAAUUACUCAUUUUUUAAGGAGGAUGGACAAGAGAUGUACCUCAUGUCUCUUGAAAAAAGGGAUCUCUGCUUAACAGUGCAUUUUUUUGUCCUCAUAGUUUUUUUCUUCUUCUAUAUUUGGCAUAUCCAAUUCUAGAAUAUGGUGGAGUGGAGUUUUUUUAGGGCUUGAUUAUAUUGGAAAUUAUUUGUACUAAAAAUAUUAAUUGGAAAUUAUUAUUCUUCUAAUAUUUUUUUAGACUAAAUUGCACUAAGAGGUUUUUUAAGUUUUAUCGUACCAUUCAAGUCAUUUAAGUUAUUUAAAUGUAACAAGUUAGUCCUUUAAGUAUUUUUUGUAUCACUUAUGUCUUUAAGUUAUUUAAUUGCAACAUUUAAACCCUGAAUAACUUAUACUUUUAAGAUCUAAAAUUUCUCAAAUUGUUACGGUUAAAUAACUUAAAGAACCUAAUUGGUACAGAGAAAACAUAAAGGAUCAACUUGUUAUAAUUAAUAAACUUACAAGGUACGAAAAAAGCUUAAAAAAUUCAUUUAUUACAAUUAAAUAACUUAAAGAACUUCUGGUGUAAUUUAACCUAUUUUGUAUCACAUUCAUCUUACUUCCUUUUCAUACAUGAUAUGCUGUCUUCCUUUCCUUUACAACAAGUGUUUAACUACUUCCAAAAUUGGAUAGUUGUAAAAUAGUGUAAUCUUUGUUUUUUGUUAUGAGAGAAUGAAUGAGAUAAAAAUCCUUACAAGUUGACAAAGAUGUGGCUCAGAAGAAAAAUGGAACAUGCCUUCUUGAAAAAAAAUAAGUUAUCCUAAAAAUAAAAAUAAAUAAGUUUAAAGUUAUUUGAAAAUAUCAAGGUAACAUAUUACACUCUACUAAGAAUUUGGCAAUUCAUUAUGCUACAAUUUUCAAUUAACCAACAUAAUCCAAAACAUAUAAAUAAUGAAAAUGGUAUUGGUCUACACUUUAAGAUUAAAUAAUGUGAUUGAAAUACACAUUUGAAUUCUUGACUUUCUAUUAAUACAUGACUUUUGAUUUUUAUGUUUCAUAAUUGUUAUCUCAAAUAUACAAUGCAAUUUUAAGAUAAGGUUUUUUGUAUUGCUUGGUUGAAUACAUGAUGAGGUUAUAACCCAUGUGUCAUAUGUGGAUCUUAUGUUUUCAACAUUGUAUGUUUGGCUACUAAUCAAUCAAGCAUGAUAAGCCCCAUCUUUCUCCCUACCACCCCUUAUCUUAUGUACACAUUUUGCUUAUCUACUUUGCCAUUGUGAAUUAAUUCUAAACAAAAUCUAUAGCAGUAAUUAAACAAUGCUAAUGAAAAUUAUUGAUGCAAUACUAAUUAAAAGGAUUGGUCCCAUGCAAAGGUUGAAAUAGAAACCUAUUUUCAGCUACACAACAAAGGGAUAAGAGUGUCAGUUGAAGAGAUUUGCUUGAAUUUUUGUUCCCUCGCCCAAGAAAUUAACACUUACCUAUCUUAUUUAAUUUCAUACUUGUUUGAUGCCUUUACUUCGUACGUGAAUUUCCUGUUGUAGAGAUACCACACACUUACACAAUGUAGUGGAUCUUUUAAGAUCGGACGGUUCAGAUUUCAAAUAUAGUUUUAUACCAUAAAAUUAUCUCAAUCACCCUUUUAAAUCGGGUGGUUCAGAUCAGUUAGAGCUGUGGAAAAUCCAUUCCCCUUUACUUCAUGACAUAGUUUUUAAUAUCAACCGUUCGUAUAAAAUUAAUGAUCAAAAUUAUUUAAAGUUGAUUUUGUUAUUAUAUAGUAUGAACUGUCUAAUCUUAAAUUAAAGUUGAUUUUGUUGUAUAAUAUGAAUGGUCUAAUCUUAAAUUAACGACUAAGAUCGUUUAUUUCAUAUAAUCACAUGCAUUUUCAAUAGCAGACAAUUAAGAUCCUUAAAUUUCACUCCUACUUUAUAGAACAUAAUUGUAGCAACAAAGGUACAAAUGUUAUUACUUUUCACUUAACAUGGACAUAUAAGAAAUUAUGGUCACAAAUAUGUUAAGAUACAAAAUGAGAUGGCAAAAAAUAUCAACUUCACCACAAUCACACAUUCAUGUGCACUUCCAAUGAAGAGAUAAGAUUAUGGAGGAAAAUCCACGUGGCAUUACCAUAGUGGUACCUAACGAUAAGGCUACCAUUUCAAAACCUAAAGCUCUUUUGUGGCCAAUAUUAUGUAAUAUCCAUAAUUAUUCAAUCCAACGGUCCAAAAUUUACAGCCACCAAUCCUUUCAAUUCCAUACCAUUAGAUAAGUAACAUCCAAAUUUUACUAUUAUAUAUAGCAAGUUUGAGUUGAAGCAAUAAGCAGUAGAAGCAAAAGUUGAGUACUUGGUGAACUAAGAAGGAGUAGGAAAAAUGGCUUUGAUCUCCUCCGCCGCUGUCACCACCGUUAACCGCGUCUCCGCUAACUUGGUUGCUCCAUUCACCGGUCUCAAAUCCUCAGCUGGUUUCCCAGUGACCAAGAAGACCAACAAUGACAUUACCUCCAUCACAAGCAAUGGUGGAAGAGUGAACUGUAUGCAGGUAAUACACCUAAGCCCUAGUCCAUAUUUUUGUAUAUACCAUAUAAAAUUUAAUUUCAUGUUAUGUUACAUAUUUAUGUACCUUAAGGUUACUUAAAUUAUGAUUCAUGUCAUAAAAAAUAGAAUGUCACAAAAGAAAAAAAAUUGGACUAUAAUUCUAGAAAAAAUUUAUCUACAAAGUUGACAUAAUUAUUAAUGAUUGUCAAAUUUUGUUAACCCUAAUACUCAAUUUUAUGUAUAAUAUUUAUAGGUUUGGCCACCAAUUGGCAAGAAGAAGUUUGAAACACUUUCAUACCUUCCACCCCUUACUGAGGAUCAAUUGGCUAAGGAAGUAGAAUACCUUAUCAGGAAGGGAUGGGUUCCUUGUUUGGAAUUUGAGCUUGAGGUUAAUCUAUUUACAUUGCAACUUUUUUUCUUCUUCUUAAUUUAGAGUUUAAGUACUAUACACUAUCGGUGAAAAACUUUUUUACACAUACAAUCAAUUAGAUUUUAUACUAGCCACUUUAUUGCAUACAUUUAUUCCUAAAAUAUCUUAACAAACAUGUACGUGGUAAAAUCUGAUUGAAUGACCAUGUAAAAAUAUUUUACAUAUGUAGUUUAAUAUAUAGUCUAUCAUAUUUUUAUUGCUUUUUGUGGAACUUGGAUUGCCUGAAGUCGGUAAUCCUCUCAUUCACUCGAUCGGUACAUCAUUGGUCGUUGGAAUUUGAUAUGGAUCCAACAACUGCAUGAUGUGCCGACUCCGUGAAUGCGGAGAAUUUCUGACUUCAGAUAAUCCGAAUUUGUGUUUCGAGUGAUGAAGUUUGUAGGGUUGAUGUGUUAAUUUGUUUUGUGUUAUAUAGAAAGGAUUUGUCUACCGUGAGAACCACAGUUCACCAGGAUACUAUGAUGGACGUUACUGGACAAUGUGGAAGUUGCCUUUGUUCGGAGCCACCGAUUCUUCUCAAGUGUUGAAGGAGCUUGCUGAAGCUAAAGCUGCUUACCCAGAAUCAUUCAUCAGAAUCAUUGGAUUUGACAAUGUUCGUCAAGUGCAGUGCAUUAGUUUCAUUGCUCACACACCAGCAACCUACUAAGUUUGAUAUUUGCACCACCCUUUAUUACUACUUUGUUUGUACUUGACCAUUGUAAGAACUAUAUAUUUCCCAUUUGUUUAUGUUUUUUGAUAUUUCAUCAUCAAGAUCAUCCUAUUGUAUUUUUUUGUUAUAUGUAUUCGGAUUUCCCUUGGAAAUUAAGAAUGGAUGAGAACUAUCAAUAAUAAAGUAUAUGUUGUUUUGUUUCCAAAUAAUAUUGCUACAAAGAAUUAACCCAUUAUUAUUCUUUAAUUUUGUAAUAGUGGGUUGAAAACUUUACUAAAAUGAAAUUAUUGACAAGAUUUCAAAUUGUGCUUAUGUUGCGAUUUUUAAUAUUGUGAAAACUUGCGGUUAAAUAUGGAUGCAUUUCACAAAUCCUAGCUAAGAGACAAACGCCAAAAUUGAUAAGUUAGACAUUUUAUCAUAGAUUUGAACUUGGGAUUCCACACUUGUGUGUACGAUAUUUUAAGUGGUUAUUGACAUUCCGCUUAUAAAAAAAUUUGGUCGAUGUAACAACGAUUAAUGUAAUUGUGACAUAGUCACCACGAUGACAUCAAAAACCUUUAUGUUGCGGUCACAAUCUCUUUCGCGUUUAAAAGCUUGUUUAUUAGUGAUUUGUUACUAAAUGAGGGUAAACAAAGCAACUUAGAUGAAUAAUAUAUCUUAUACGUUUGGUUAGUCAUAAGAGAAAAGAAGUCCAUAAUUUAAUUUGUCCUAAGCCAAAAUGACUAGGAUGCACACAAUUUCUUGUUAUUCUAUUUGAGUAAUAUUUUGCACUCAUGUUGUGGGGAAGCAAUGAACAUCCCCGACCAAGUAUGAAUGAAUGGUGUGAAACUUUAAACAGAAUAGUUUAAUAAAACAAGAAAAUUAAUGUUAAUAUUGUCGUACACUCAUAACCUAUGAAGCACAGACACAGACACGACCCUGACACAUACAUGUCAACACCAAUAAAAUGACAUAAUUCAAUGUAAUCAAGUGUUGGUGUUCUGUCAGUGUCAAACAAUGGGACACACCUUCAAUCAAAAGUGUUGAGCAACUCAUCAUGCACGUGCGUACAAUGCUUGCCUGCUCGAGCACUUUUCUCGCUUAUGAGUAAACUAUGAGUCAUACUCAACAACAAUUCACGUGUAUAUUUAUAUGCAAAGAGUUCGACCACAUAAUUUUAAAGCAUAAAGUUUAAAUCUUCUCGAAUAUGGUUUUAAAACGACUACCACUUUUAAUUGAUAAUAAUUUCUCUUUCCCCAAUUUAUGAAAAACAAAAGUUUAUAUAUGUUGGUUUUUUAAACAUUCCUCUUAAAGCAACAAAACUAAUUGGAAUCAUAAUAUUUUUCUUCUGCCAUUCUCAAUCAAGUCACUGCAAAUUAUAAAUCAUAAUUUUGAAAUUGUACAAAUUUAAGCACAAUUGGAUUAGACCAAGUGUAGAGCUACCAAGUACAUAAUUUUUUCAGAAUUUCCAAAAUCCAAAGGUAUAUAGACAAGAAUCUUAAUAUCAACAUGAUUCACUUGAUUAUUUUUUGCUAGUAACUUGCUGUAUAUAGUCAUGGAUUUCCCAUUGGUAAAUUACAUUUAACCGUUAUGAGGUAUGAUUAAUUAUAGGUAACCUUAUAGAUUGCAUCAAUAUUUAGAGUGGACCCUUUAGAUAGGUACUUUUGUGAACAAGGUUACUCAAAGAUAAAGAAAUAGAUAAGAAGUUUCACCUCCUCUACUCAAACUAUACAACAUCACACAUUUUUUAAUACAUGAAUAGUCAUAUAUGUAUUUCACCAUUGGAUAUAUAGCAAGUUUGAGCUGAAGCAUCCAUCAAUCAGUAGAAGCAAAAGCUGAGUACUUGAGGAAAAAUGGCCUUGAUUUCCUCUGCAGCAGUCACCACUGUUAGCCGCGCCUCCUCGACACAAGCCAACUUGGUUGCCCCAUUCACCGGUCUCAAAUCCUCAGCUGCUUUCCCAGUUACCAAAAAGACCAACAAUGACAUUACCUCCAUUGCAAGCAAUGGUGGAAGAGUGAACUGUAUGCAGGUAAUACACUAAUCCAUAAUCCAUAUUUUUGCAUACCCCAUCAAAAAUUAAUUGAAUUUCAUGUUAUGUUACAUAUGUAUGUACCUUAAGGUUACUUAAAUUAUUAUUCUUGUCAUGAAAAGAAGAAUAAUGUAACAAAAAAAUUGGACUAAAAUUCUAGAAAAAAAAAAUAUGUACAAUUGUAUACCAAAGUUGACAUAAUUAAUUAAAACUGUCAAAUUUUGUUAACCCUAAUAAUGAAUUAUAUGUAUAAUAUUUCUAGGUGUGGCCACCAAUUGGCAAGAAGAAGUUUGAGACACUUUCAUACCUUCCACCUCUUACUGAGGAACAAUUGGCUAAGGAAGUAGAAUACCUUAUCAGGAAGGGAUGGGUUCCUUGUUUGGAAUUUGAGCUUGAGGUUAAUCUAUUUACAUUGCAAUCCUUUCUUUCUUCCUUUUUAAAUUAGAGUUUAAGUAUUAUACAUCGUCGGCGAAAAACUUUUUUACACAUACAACCAAUCAGAUUUUUCAUGACACCACUUUUUUGUAUAUACUUAUUCCUAAAAUAUCUCAUGAUGCCACUUUAUGCCACUUUACAUAUAUAGUAAAUAUAUAGUCUAUGCUAUUUUUAUAGCAUUUUGCAGAAUUUGGAUUGCAUGUAGUCGGCAAUCCUCUCAUUCACUCAGCCGGUACAUCAUUGGUCGUUGGAAUUUGAUCAGGAUCCAACAACUACAUGAUGUGCCGGCUCAAUGAAUGCGGAGAAUUUCUGACUGCAAACAAUCCGAUUUUGUGUUACAAGCGAUGAAUUUUGUACGGUUGAUGUGUUAAUUUGUUGUUUGAAUUGUUGUGUUUUAUAGAAAGGAUUUGUCUACCGUGAGAACCACAGUUCACCAGGAUACUAUGAUGGACGUUACUGGACAAUGUGGAAGUUGCCUUUGUUUGGAGCCACUGAUUCUUCUCAAGUGUUGAAGGAGCUUGCUGAAGCUAAAGCUGCUUACCCAGAAUCAUUCAUCAGAAUCAUUGGAUUUGACAAUGUUCGUCAAGUGCAGUGCAUUAGUUUCAUUGCUCACACACCAGCAACCUACUAAGUUUGAUAUAUGCACCACCCUUUAUUACUACUUUGUUUGUACUUGACCAUUGUAAGAACUAUAUUUCCCAUUUGUUUUAUGUUUUUUGAUAUUUCUUCAUCUUGUAUUUUUGGUUAAUAUGUAUUCGGAUUUCCUUUGGAAAUUAUGAAUGGAUGAGAACUAUCAAUAAUAAAC